UAGAAGCAGGCAACAACGAGGUGAUGAGCUGUUGGACGAUUAUUUUGUCUAUAAUAGUGCAUUUCAUAAUGAGUACUUCAGACGUCGUUUUAGAAUGGAACAACAUUUGUUCAACAAAAUCAUGAUUUCUGUUUGCAACCAUGAUUCUUACUUUGUGCAAAAGAAGGAUGCUUGUGGUGCUAUGGGUCUCCUUCCCGAGCAAAACAUUACUGGUGCGUUGCGGAUGCUUGCGUAUGGAGCAGCUGUAGACCAAGUGGAUGAGAUAGCGAGGAUGGGGAAAUCAACCAUUCUUGAGUCCUUUAUGAGGUUUUGGGGAGCAAUCGAAUCUAUCUACACUGCAGAGUACCUCCAGAAACCUACUCACAUGGACUUGGAAAGACUUCUGAAGAAGGCCGAGAUGCGAGGUUUUCCUGGGAUCACAUGGACUUGGAAAAACUGUCCAAGUGCAUGACAAGGCGCUUAUGGAGACAGAAAAUGAGCAAAAAGUAUAAUUUUGGAGGCGGUGGCAUCUUUUGAUACAUGGAUUUGGCACGCCUUUUUCAGGGUUCUGGGACCUUAAAAUGACCUCAACGUCCUUGCCCAAUCCCCAGUGUUCAAUGAUGUCCUGCAAGGAAAGGCACCAAAAGUCACGUAUGAGGUCAACGGACGUAUGUAUGACAGGCCAUACUACCUAGCUGACGGCAAUUAUCCAAGGUGGUCAACAUUUGUCAAAACAGUGCCAUGUCCGCGAAGUGCAAAGGAAAAAUACUUUGCAAGAUGUCAAGAGGGGUGCAGGAAGGAUGUGGAGCGUUGUUUCAGUAUCCUCCAAGCUCGCUGAGCGAUCGUCAAGGGUGCUACCAGAUUGUUUGAUGUAGAGUCGCUUCAAUCCAUCAUGAUGACGUGCAUCAUUCUUCACAACAUGAUUGUGGAAGAUGAGUACGAUUAUGAAGUCGUUGAUGAAUAUGAGCCAGACACAAUGAACAAUUCAAGAACACGUAUAUAUUGUACUCAUGACGCCAUCGAUGAGGCCGUGCAACAUGAGCCAUUAGAAAGGGAUGGACGUUACAAUGAAAGGGUCAUUCAACGAUAUACUGCAUUUCAAAGGUCAGACAUGCACAAUGCCCGGCAAAAUGACUUGAUAGAGCACCAGUGGGCAUUGAAACAAGCUGAAGAUAAUUAAGUUCAUUUAGUGUGUUUUUUAUUAUUUGGUAUGUUUAUGUAAUUUUAUUUGGUGUGUUUUAUUUUAGUUCAUUUAGUGAGGUUUUUAUUAUUUGGUGUGAGGUUUUUAUUAUUUGGUGUGUUUAUGUAAUUUUAUUUGGUGUGUUUAUGUCAUUUGAAUAAAGAUUCUCUUAUAGUAUAAGAUAUUACCAUAUUACAUAAAUUUAUUCUCACUUUAAAUAAAGUACUAAAUUCAAUAAAUUCAAAACAACAUAAAAUACUCAAUUCAAUAAAAAAUAAAUUACAACCCAUGGUGAUUGGAAAACUAUGGGCUCCGAUUACAAAAAGUACUCUAAUCAUCAUCACUUAACCAAUUUGUGGUGCUAGGAUGAUCUUCUCUUGUCGUGCUAGGACCAUCUCCUCUUGCUCUCGCUUCUCUUGCACGCCUCCUACACACCACAUCAUCUUUCUCUGACUUUCAAAAAUAUUUAGAAUUUGGAGACUUCCCUUCUAAAGGUGUGUUCAUAAUCUCACGAUCUCGUUGAGCCAUUCUUUCUUCUCUAACCAAUUCCCUUUCUUGCCUAAGUAGCUCUAUUUCUCUUUGAUUAGCUUGAAAUUCUCUCUCAACAACUGUAGCUUUUGCCUCCUCUCUAGCCUUAUCAGCCUCAAAUUUUGCCAUUUCCCGCGCCAAAGUCAAUUCACUAUGGCGAGUAAGUUCUUCCAUGUACUUUGCAUAAUCAUGCUUGGAAGCACUUCAUUUUCUUUUUGAAGCCUUCUUACCUUGAGGCCUAAUUGGAUAACGGGUCGAACCCGACGCUUGUUCAGGGAUGGGCGUUUCGGGCACUUCUUCUGCAUCAUCUUCAUGCGAGCCAUUAUCAGGUGUAGAGCAUAGCGAGGUGCUGUUUAUGACAACUUCUGGACCAACAGGCACAACUCUAAAUUUAGGACAAUCUUUGACAAUAUUCCAACAUUCCCACCGGUUGAAUGAUUUAUUUUUUGUUUUGGUUUUGGCACCAUACCAAGCUUGUGCUUGAAUUAGCUACACAAUGGAGGAGAAGAAAUAAUUAUAAUCAAAGUAGAUAACAAAUAAAUAAUACAAACAAAUAAUUAUAAUUAAAGUAGUUAACAAAUUAUUGGUAACAAAUAAAUAAUACAAACAAAUAAUUAUAAUUAAAGUAGGUACCAAAUAAAUAAUACAAACAAAUAAUUACAAUGUAAAUUUGGGUAUAGUACAAACAAAUAAAUAAUAUAUUGUUACCUGCUCCGUGUAAUUUUCCCCACUUCAAAGAUUAUAAUUUUCCCCACUUCGAAGAUUACUACUAGCUUGUGCCAAGGCGUCUCUCCAAAUAGUAAACGAUUGGCUAAGUAAUUUCCAACGACUAGACAUCAAUUCUUUGGUUCUACUCCCACCCAUUUUCUCAAGAUAAUUGGUAUGAAUAAGACUCCACAUUUCUCGCAACUGCAUCUCAUUAUCCGUACGUGAACUAUGAGUAACUUCAACCCCGCUAGUACACAAUGCAACAUCUUCAAGAGAUGUCCAAUUCGUACCUGCAUCAGUAGUCAUUUUGUUGAAAAAAAUUGGAUUGAAACUUUGAGAGAAAGAUAGGAAUGUGAUUGAAAGUAGUUGAGAACAUAUGAAAUUGUGGUGUAAGUUAGAUGAUAAUUGACACACCCCGUCCCGAAGGAGGGCAUGCUGGCCGUCACGUGAGAGUGACGUAACCAUUUACACAGUUCGGAAGCUUUAAAAAUACAAUUACUAAGAUGAAACACUCGAGGGUGAGUCCUACUUUUGUGAAUUCUGUCAGAACACCGUUGGAUUCCUCGUGGCCACCAAAGCUCUGCUAUCUAGAACCUGGAGGGGCGCAAACAAAGUUGAGUGGGUCAGUAAAACAAAGUUUUUCGAAAACAUUUCAUUUAAAACAUUUCUAACCCCUCGUUGUAAAACCUGUAUACUUUCCCAGAAAAUAUCAUAAUAGCAUAUACCUUCAAAUAUCUCAAAUCAUCAAUCUUUAUCAAAACCAGAAAGUAUGCCAUGCUAUAAUGUCAAAAACAGAAUAUGGAUGCAUCAAUAUAACAGGUGAAAUAAGGAAUCAACCGGAGACCCUGCAGUUGGUCCUGUACGGUUAAUUCUAUAGCUCAAUAUCCAAUCCAACUAGAGUCACCACGGUGACCUGUACGGCGCUACUCUGCACAUAAGUCGGAACUACCUGAAGUAAUUUGUACGACAAGAAUGGUGUAAUAAUACGCUCUAGUGCUUCUCUCAUCAAUCAUCUGUGCACAAAAUCUAAGGUCACCUACCAGUCGGAACCACCUCUAGUGGUCUGUACGACUAGCAUGUCAGAACCCUCUCAUGGUCUGUACGACAUGCACCUACUUAGAUCCAAGGUGAGUGUGCGGUGCGGUGAAUAAUAUAAGCACUAAUACCAGAGGUGCAGGUCAUGAGCUCUCAACACAAUUCACAUCAUCGAUGAUUCACAUGGAUAACAUAAAACUCACAUGAUACUCACAUGUGCAUCCCCAGCACCAAUUCACAUAUAUAUAUAUAUAUAUGCAUCAAUUAUCAAUUCAUAUAUCUCAUAAUAUGCAUGCAUGGCAUUUUAAAAUGUACUUUCAUUUAAACUCAAUUUCUAGGAAAAAUAUCAAUAGUAUAUAGGUAUAAACAGAAAUACUGCCCACUCACCUGGAGUUCACCCAACAACUCCCUAGCACAACACAUCAAGGCGUCAUGACGAUCGACGCCUAGAACAAUAAUCAAAUCCAUCCUCAGAAUUCAUAUCGAUAGAAUAUAUAACUUAUAUAAAACACGUCACUACGUAGUUCGAUCCAGACGAUCUGCAACUCAGAUUUCAAAUCCAUAACUUCCAAAGGUCCACAAUAUACCUCUAGGACAACAUCCUAAAAUUUCAUUACCAUCCAACGGUCGGAUCUCCGUAAAUUUCCAAAACCAAGUGACGGUUAACAUUAUAUUUUAUGAACUUACAACUCCAAUUCCGAAAGAUCCAUAAAUUGAAUUCUCGAUCCGUAAGUUCCUAUAAUCCUCAAAUAUUACGUAUUACAACGUAUCAAAGUUUGGUGACGAUCCAACGGUUGGAUCGUCGAUUCACCUUUUGGCCUAACCACGAAUCGUAACGAACUUAGGUUCAAUUACUCAAUUUACGUCCAUCAAUUAUCAAAAUUGAACCUAGAACCUUAAAAAAUGCUAAGAAUGACAUUGGCGGGCCAUUGGCCACGCGCCGCCACACGGGCCGCCGCGGGUGGUGGUUGGCCGCCCCGGCUCACCGGAAAAUCCAACUAUUUCCAAAAAUUCUCAAAAAAUACAGAAAUGAAGAUCUCAAAUAGUAGAGCAAACUUUAUACCUGAGGCCAAAGCCAAUUUGGCUUGGAAACACUUCAAUUUCACCAAAAUCAGUACGAAACCCUAGAAAUGGGUGAGUUCCAAUUCGUCUUCAAUUCAACUCCGUCGUCGCAACCAAUGCUUGGGAUUUGUUCUAGGCCUCAAGAGAAGUGUAUGGGUGGUGGCAAUUGAAAGAAAUUGCUUCGGGAUUGGGUGAAUUUGAACAAGAAAGUCGCGACACCUGUGUGGGUGUUUCUUCGCGAAAUCACCACGAAAUUCAUUGAUUUUUGGGUCAAUUAGGAUGCUAGGAUAUCUUGCAGGUGUUUGGGGUUGAUGGGAGGUUGAAGAAGACCAGAAAUUUGGACGGAAAACCGUCGGAAAAUGGCCUUGCGGGAGCGGGUCGCCGCGCGGGUCCAAUAGACCCGACCAAUCAUCUGUUUUCCUUCUUCCUCCUUUCCCUCCUUUCCUUCUUCUGGUUGGCCAAGCAGGUUCCUCUCUCCUCUCCCCAUUCGGCCUCUCCUUCUUCUUCUUCGAUUGGGCAGCUUUGCCCAAUCUCUAUUUUUCUCUUCUUCUUCCCCGGUGCCUUCCUCUCACGCACACACACCCACAAAACUUUCUUCAUCUUUUAUUUUUAUUUCCUUUCCCUUAUAUCCAAGCCAUCCAUUUCAAAUUUCUUUUAAUCUAGGCCAUCCAAAUUUUAAUAAUAAAAUUCAUAAAAUGUCCAAACUUCAAACUUUAAAAUCUUUUUCGUUAUAACUCCAAAUAGCGAACCGUAUGCGCCCACGCGUCCGUAGCGACGAGUACUACAAGGAUAUGUCAAGAAAACAAAUCUUAGAUGGCAUGACACAACGAUUAACCUCGAAUAAUGCGCGUGCCUCAAAGGGCAUUUUUGUAAAAUCCUUUAUUAAAACUUUAAAAACUCUUAAAAUUAGGGACGGGCUGUCACAAUAAUGAGAAGGUAUUUAUAGAAAAGUAGAAACAUUUUGUUUUUUAAAUUCAGAUAUUUUUUCGGAUUUGUUUUACAAUUUUUAAAAUUUUUUUAUUCAAAUAAUUAAUCUCUGCUGUUGGAUUUAAAAAAAAAAAUUGAAUUCCAACACUCUAGAUUGUGCCACGUGUCACAAUGGUAACUUUUCUUAAUUUUAAAACUAUUUUUUCGUUUUAUUUAUUUAUUUAUAAAGCAUAUUAAUAUCGACAGUUGAUCUUAGAUCGAACAAUUGAUAUUAAGUAAGAUUUUUUUUAUUUUUUUUACCGUUGAGAUCGAACUGUCCAAGUUAAAUAACCGUUGAGAUCGAACCGACCGUGGGAAGCAAUGUGGCUUCCCAAUGGUAACAUUGAAGUCUGAAAAGGUUUCUGUUUUUUUUUUUUUGAAAAGUUGUCGGGUGACAUGCCCCCAUGCUCGAGUGGGGUGCACGCGCUUGACAGAAAAAAAAUUAAAAAAAGGCCCGAAGCUUGGGCUCGCGGGCUGUCAACUCUUCACAGGCCCGGAGCUCUGGCCUCCACCUCGCUCGGGCUCCUUCAUGCUAGAGCAAAUCCAUAGGGCCUCGGGCCCUUUUCUCUCACCUAUCCCCCGAGCAAUCCACAAGGGUGGAGUUGCUCUAAGCUAUACAAUAAAUAAUCUAAUUUGAAGUUGAAUUCGCCUCUCACUUGCAAGUGAACAUGUCACGUUAUUAAGCAUGACAUUCUUUCCCUCUUUUUCCAUAUAAAAAAAAAAAACUAAUGAAAAUGGCUUAAAAACUUUGCGUUUUAACGAAAAUGAAAAAAAUAAAAGGGAAUAGUACUAUGGUUGACUUUUUAGUGUAAAAAUGUGGUUUUUCAUUAAAGUAAAUAUUACUGGGAGCUUUUCGUUAAAGUUCUUUAUUAAAAAUGUUAAAAGAAACCACAUUAUUGUACAACACUUUGUUAGAGAGAUAAUAGGACCCACUUGUACUGGGAGGCUUAGCUAUUUCUAAUAGAAAUGUGAUACAUUGUAACAGUGCAGAAAUUUUUAAUUGUGACGAGAACACAAGUAGUACACCACGUGUUUAAAUAAAAGUGGUGGGAAAUUUUAUUUUUUAAGUUAUUAACUUUUUAGUACACAUAUCCCACCAUUUGUAUAAUAACACAUGGUGUACCAUCCCAUGUACCGGUCAUAUUGAAAAAUCUCUCGUAACAGUGGUUGUAUUGGAGGCGUGCAAAAAGUGUCUCAGCAUAAGGAUGAGGAUACUUUCUAGAUUCUUUUAGUGAUCCUCAUCUCCAGAUUCUUUUUGUGAGGAUUCUCACAUCCUAUUUGUGACAGCCCGUUCCGAAAUAAAAUUUUUGAAUGGUGUGAAUUGUCUAAAAUACCUUAGAUGUUGAGAUGUGUUGUGUGAUAUGUUUUGAUUGUGGUCCAAUUCCUAUUUUCCUAGACUUUUGGAACUAUUUAGGAUUUAGGUUUUAAUUACUUUUGUUUUUGGUUGGCUGCAAACUGGACCACACACACACACACCCAUACCCAAUCCCGUUAACCUUCUCUUUUUCCUCCCUCUCGGUUUCUUUCCAUUUUUCGUACAAUAUGUACGGACAAACCUUAAACCAAGUAAUUUCUUCACGGAUUAAGGUUUUUGAAGUCAUCUUCGUGUGCCUUGUGAGCUCAGGAACACAUCUAUACCGUUUUUAAAAAGUGAUGACCUCAUUUUCCCGAGAACUCGAGAACCCAGUUUUGGGUUACUGUUCAUGCACUCAUGAUUUUAAAGUUUUUAGGAGAUUUUAAGUUGCUAGGGAGCCUUAAAACAUCUUCACGAAGCUCGGGGAGUAAUUUUGAAGUGAAUUGGACGUCGGGAAGCCCAAGUUUAGUGAGUUGCAGGUUUGGCUGGAAUAUCGAAGGUUUUUCAAGCAACUUUCUGUUGGUUUUAGGUCCCCAAAGUGGUAUGAAUAUGUUCUUCUCAUCUUAAGCUUCAUUGUACAAAAUUCGUGAAUUUUGGUUUAGAAUCGAAGGAGAUAUGAAGAUUUUAAAUUUUUUGAGAAACCGACAAGUGUAGUGGUGACCGGCACCGGACUCCGGCGAACCAAGGAAGAAGGAGAUUAUUCCGUCAAACUUAACGGAAUAUUCUAACGCCGUUAGGUAUAAUUAACGGUAUAUUCUAGUUUUUAACGGAAUAUUCCCUAACAACAUUGACUAUUCCGUCCCCUGUGCCAGGCAUGUGCCUGCGUGUGGGCCGUGUGUCUGGUCAUGCCUUGGUCGGCUCGUAAGGGCGCGUAGGGUCAUGAAAAGUUUUUCUAAAAAUUUGGGGAUGUUCCUGAGGUUGAGUAGAUCAUGGUGGUAUAUUCAAAUACCCCAUUUGAGCAAUGUAUGAGAAGUUAUUUCCUAGUUUUGUGUAUGUGCCUUAAAUAACGUUUAUUUAGUUAUUUCGCAUAUAGGUGAGACCUAUCCUGAGGACGAGCGCCAUCAAUAGAGGCUCGGGGGCUAUGACCCUUCGACAUAUCAGUGAGUGGGCUUUUGGUUUUUCGUAUAUACUUAUAUACUUGAUUUUUCCCAGAAAAUGAAUUUGAAUGAAAUUAUGUUUUGAAAUGCCAUGCAAAGUAUUUGUCUAUUUUAUUAUGCAUUAGUAGUUGCAUAUAUUUACGAUUGGUGUUGCGGAUGCACAGGUAAGUACUAGGUAAGUUUAUAAAUUAAAGGUAUGAAAUUGUUUCAGUUAUGCAAUGCUUAAUGUGAUGUAUUAAGAGCUCAUAAACCUACACCCCGGUGUUGGUGCUCCCGCCUAGAGUUAGGGCACAGUCCUUCACGUGAUGUUCACCUCCCGCACCAUAUGCUCACAUUGGAUCCAAGUUUGGUGCACAUGCUUGUCGUACAUACCACUUUAUGUGGUUCCGACUUGUAGAUGACCUGCGAUUAUUCGCAUAGUCUUCACGUUAUCGUAGCACUAGAGCAUAUUUAUUUUACACCUAGUCUUGUCGUAUAAACCACUUUAGAUGGUUCCGACUCGUGUGCAAGAUUUGAUUUGAUAUGAUUGAGAUUGGUUAUGAGCUAUAGACUCAGCUGUGCAGGUCACAUAGGUAGAUUCGGCUGAUAUGAUAUCUAGCAUUGAUGCAUUUUAACUGGAUUACUUAUGGCAUUUCAUUGAGAUACUUUGACAUGAUAUAUUUCUAUGGAUUUUCAUCUUGAGCAUGAAUUCUGAUAUAGCAUAUAUUAUAUUUUUCUGGGAAAUUAUACAAGUUUUACGGCGAGGGGUUAGAACUUUUGAGAAAUGAAGUGGUUUGAAAAGCUUUGUUUUUGCCUACUCACACUUUUUGUUUUGCGCCCCUCCAAGUUUUAGGUAGAAGUGCUUUGGUGGAUCACGAGGAUUUCGACGGGGGUUCUAACAAAACAUCAUAAAUGUAGGAUUCCCGUGGGUGUGUAUAAUUAGUACUUGUCCUGCUUGACUGCAUCUAGAGUAUUUAUGCUCUGGUUGUGUAUUUCACAUUUAAUCUCACACUAGCACUCUAUCUUAGAUAAUUCUGCUAGUAGUUUGAUUUUUAUUCCUUCGCUUUUCCCUUAUAUCUUUAUUGCUUCCGCACUGUGCACACGGUUACGUCACUCCCACGUGACAGCCAACAUGCCUCGAUCUAGGUUGGGGUGUGUCACUAUCUAUUUAUCGUAAAUCGUGUGAUAAAAAAUUAUUAGGUACUGUUUGUGUUUAAAUUUAAAUAAAAAAUUCACAAUGAUUUCUAGGCACAUGAUUUUCAAUGAAUGGAUGAGGUGUGAAGAUCCAUAAAAUUCUCACAAAGAAGAUCCGAAUGAGAUCCAAAUCCUCAGCAUGGGCCCCUAAUUUCUGAGAAGCCCCUGAAAUCUUCAUCCUCCUACAUUAUUUUCUAAUAAAUUUAAUAAAAUUAAAAUUUUCAGUUUAUAUAUGACAAUUGAAUUUUUUUUCGGUCAAUACAUUUCACAAUUAGUUAAGUGGAGCCUAUAAUUUUUAUAAUAAUUUUUCGCUUUUUUCUAACAAUAAAAUAUUAAGUUGUAUAUUCCUCUCUCUCAUAGAAACAAGUGUAUUUUCGUAUUUCUCCCUUUCAGUCAUGAGCACGCUUUUUGUUUUACAAGGAUGAAGCCAAAAUCUUAAUUUGAUGGCCGUUGGAAGAAAGAAAAAUCUCAAAUUAGAAAGACUAUUCAAUAGUUGGAGUGAGAUGUUGAAUUUCAUUAAGUUGGAAUUUUGCACAAAUACAUUGUUCGAAAUAAAUUUUUGCAUAGGCUCUCAGUACUACGAUUUGGUAGUAUUUUUUUUCACUUAAAAGUGAAAUAUCUUAGGUUCGAAUCUUGUAGAUAGCGAAUUCAAUACCAAAUUAGGUUGCCUAUUGUGUGACUUAGCCGAACUUCCCCUCCCUUUAGUGUAAAAAUAUUGAUGUACUAAUUUUGUUUUUUUGCACAAGUACCCUCAUACCAUUACUAAAAGUAAUCUUUGAAAAAAGAAAAAUAUAUGACACUUUUUUUAUGUAAAAUGAAAAUAAAUUAAGAACCAUCAAAAACACACAUAAGGUAAACAUGCCAAAUGUAGCCAAUUAAAGAUGUUACACACCCCAAAAGAAACACAAAAGCUUUAUAGUUACAAACUCAUUAAGAAUACAAUAGAACACAAUUUCCUAUGCACAUAGAACCCACAUCUAACUAACAUGAAAGAUAACUCUUAUGAAGAGUAAACAUUAAAAGACGUAGAACUACACCAAAGGAAUCGUGCGAAAAAAUACUACACUGCUCUAUGAUCACCUUGCAAUCAUAACUAAAAGAAGUAAUGUUAUGAGCAAUCUCCUCAUAAUCCUUUUCUAUGCACACAAACCGCAUGAAACACAAAAACCUCCAUCUCAACUCUUAACAAGUCAUCCAUUUAGAAAUAUGAGUUUGAGAUGAAAAUCAUAGACACUACAAAAACUCUCAUCGAUAAAGCGACCAAUGACCACAACUAUGAAAACUCUUCUCACUAAAACGAAAGAGAACCACAACCAGAGGAGAUGGUUUAAGUAUAUAGGUGUAACGAGAGGAAAAAUAGAAGAGAGUGAGACAAAUUGCCCCCGACCUUUAAACCAAAGAUAGGGGUGGAAAAUUUCUCACACAAAUUUAUUUGGAAAACCCAAAAAAGCCAUUAUUCAUUAAUUAUUCAAAUAAAAGCCCAAAUGGGAUUACCCAGCCAAAUAGAAAUAGCCAUCCCCAUCGAUCCACAAUUCCCGAUUAUAAUUGAUACCUUUCUUCCAAAGUAGGACCGCAUAGAGCUUACGUUCAAAUUACGUUCAAACAAAUUAAUAGAUAGAUUUAUAUGAUUUAGGAACACUACUGUAGUAAUGUUUCGUACCAAUAAAAUGAAAAUAUGUGUAAAUUUGCAUUCAUAUAUCAUCAUUUUAUUAGUAUGAAACGUUAUGUGGUGUUGUACUUUGUCUUGUCAAUUGUUUUUGAAAUGUGAGGUCCAUUUUGAAACCUAGAAAAAGAAAGAGGUCCACUAAGAUUGUGAAACCCACUUUCUAGCAAAGGCUUAUCACUAUAGUAUUUUUUUAAGGAGAAUGUAAUGAGGUGUCAUCUUUUUAGAUCAUAUUUUAUAAAUCAUAUGAUGUGGUUGUUGAAAGUUGAUAAUUAAAUUUUAUUUUUAAUAAUAUAGAGAAAAUAUUAAAUCGUCAACUAUCAUAUUAUAUAAUAUAUUUUAAAAAAAUGAUCUCUCUAACGUCACCAAUAAUUUGUCACUUAAUAUUAUUCUUGCUAAAGACGAAUUUGAAUCACAUUAUUACUAGUUCAGUGUGAAACUUAACCCACCAUCUAACUCCUUUAAAGGAAAUAAUAUUGUUUGUUUAUAAUAAUAAUAAUAAAUAAAAUAUAAAUAAAAUAAAUAAAAAAACCCACACGUAACUUGGCCCACUCUAUCACUGAUUUGGUUUAAAGCAAUUUCAAGCCACAUACUACUCCUCGAGGCAAUGAGCAUUUUCCCCCUAAUUAUAAAAACCAUCUUUAUUUCACGAGCUUAUAAAACUAAUGAAUUAUCGUGAUAUAUUGACCACAAUACAGUUUUAUUUUAUUCUGGCUUUUUAAAUUUGGUGCUUUUUUGGUAAAAUUAAAUUUGGUGCCUUUGAAUUGAUAGUGAAAUUAGGGCUGGGUAUGGGUCGGGUCGGACCCAAUUUUGAAGGGAUCAAACAGGACCUGGAUUUAAAUGAGACGGGUUGGACCAAGGCGGGGAUAACAUUUUUUAAUAUGGGAACCGGACCUUACCCGGCCUAGUGAAAACGGGCCGGUUAGGUCGGGUCCACGGGGCCUUUUGUUUUUUUUUUUGUGGAAAAAAAAAUAAAUUAAACGGAAUACGUUCGGAUAUUCAGUUAUGCCUUGUAAACGAAAUACGUUCAGAUAAAAUUUGAAUUGAAAGGGUGUGUGAACUCUAAAUUUCUCCAAAAAAAAAGGGAAAGAACCUCUCACAGAAGGAGAGAAGCUCUCUCAUGAAAGGAGAGAAUUUUUGCUUUUAUUCUUAGUAUGUAUUUUGGUACCACGUAAUGUGUCUAGUGGAACUCGUAGCCUUUUGUUUUUCUUUUUUGACAAGCCUACCACAAUUCAGCAUUUUUUUUCUUUAAAAAAGAGAUCAUCUGGUGGCUUAGCCACAACAGUUCACAUUAAUGUGUCUAGUGAAACUCGUAGCCUUUUGUUUUUCUUUUUUAACAAGCCUACCACAAUUCAAUAUUUUUUUCUUUAAAAAAGAGAUCAUCUGGUGGCUUAACCAUGACAAUUCACAUUUUUAGGGGCCAGGAAAGACUCACAGAAGUUGAAACCUGAGCCACCAUUGUGCGAUUCACCAGCAUCAGGAAUCAAACCCAAGAUAUGCCACUAGUGAAGGAAAAAUUUUGUCCUAGCUAAGAACAUGUGAGAAUAUUUGAAUACAUAUGCAAACUAUUAACACAUUAAAGUAGGCAUGCAUUCAAAAAUAAUUCGUAAAACCCAUGACUUUCAAAGCCUAGUAUAUGGUGAACCAACAAACUCUUUAACAACAUUAAAGAGAAUAAAGGAUUUAGAGUUUCUUUACCCUUGAAGCUCAUCCUUGAUUACACAAGGGAUUCACCCAAGUGGAGGGCCUUCAAGUCACCUCCUUGCUCCUUGGAUCUUCCUUGUGAUUUUCCUCCUUUUAGUGCUCCUUUGCUUCUUUGAGGAUUUGAGGAUUUGUUCUCCAAAACAUCAAAUGCUUGAUGUCUCUAAGUCUCUUCACCAAGGAUGUGAUGUGAAGAUGAAAUGGAUGACUUAGGGAAGAAAAGAUUGCUAGCUAUUCCUUCCCUAGGUGGCCGACCUCUUUUGAGAAAAUGAGAGAAAAUGUUUCACCUCAUUUCACCAAGAAAAACCCUAAAUGAAAAUAAAGCUAUAAAGUUGAAUUUAUACUUCAUCACAUGUGAGUGGCAAACUUGUAAUUAAUCCAAGUUUGACACUUCUCACCCUAAUGGCCGGCCAUAUCAAAUUGAUUGGGCUAAUUGCCCAUUUUGUUUUAGUUGUCAUACAACUUAAAUAUAAUGGGCCUUGUGGACCAAACGCUUUUGGGCCCCGAAACCCAAAACCAACAUAUAAGCCCAAUACGAACAUUUCGUAUAAUUAAAUAACUAAUUAAUUAACCUUGACCAUUCUUCAAUUAAACCAUUUAAUUGCUUAUCCAUUUCAUUUAAUUUCUUCACCAACAUCCUUACUCGGUGUACGAUCCAUUAGGUUCCAUUUAGCGAGGUAGUGGGCGAUUGUUACUCUUAACGAUCGAUUGUGAAUUGAAACCACAUUUCAAUUCUCCCUUAAAAUUAGUGUUUGCUAAUCUUUAGGGCUUCCACAAACCAUGAGUGACACCUAGCAGCAUAUCAUGGUUACCCAAGCUAAGUAGAAGUGGUUGGAGAACCUAUCCAGUUACAAUUACAAUGCAAUACGGUCAUUCUCUAAUACAAUACUCUUAAUCACAUUGUUUAAGUGAUAGUUUGUUUCAUGUCUACUAUCCAAUGUGAUACUUAUCUAUAUGAUUCAAUUGAAUAUGAUAUGGAACAAACUUCCUUAGUCAUAUUCAUAUGCUUUGGCCAAAGACUCUCGAAUCAUAUCUUAGAGUAUUCUCCUUCCACCAUGGAAGGUUAGAGAUUCCUUGUUGUGCAUUCAUAUGCCUACAUGACUAGGUAGCUUGACCACAACAAUGCCAUGGACACUCCAAUGGAAUGCCUUUGACAUGAUCAAAGAUCAAAGACCUAACCAUUAGACAUCUAUGAUGCCUCAGGUCAAAGGACUACUUUGCAUAUUGCAACUAUUGAGUUCUUACAUGACAUGUAUGUUCGAACUCUCUUUUGAUCGUUGUUCAGUGUACUCAAUCACUCUUUCGAGCACCUAUGUGUUUGCCUUAGUGUCCAACACUAAAUGACUUGAGACUAGUCAUACUCGCGCUUGAGUCAACAUAACACAUACUAACCUUAGCGGAUUGUCAAUGCCCAAUUGGCAAUCCUAUGGCUAGGAACUUUUUAGGAAUGAACAUAAGAGAAAGGUCUCGAUAAUCUAACUUACUUAAAUCACUUAUCUCUUAGAUCAAAUACAUUCCUUGGAUUCCCUUAUUGCUUAAACACAUGAUACAAUAAAUAGUGAUUAACAAUAAGCUUUGCCCUUCAUUAAACAUAUAAAAGUUUAAUACAAUAAGUAUUCCAAAAGCUAUUACAUCAAAUGAGUGGCUUUGUGGGCAUACUUCAAACAACCAGUGCCAAGAAUCGAACCCAAGACAUGCCUUGUGGAAUACGAGCCUGAAAUUUAUCCCCAACCACUAGAUCACCCCAUGGUAGUUACCACAAUUCAACAUUAAACUCAUUAUAAGUGUAUUGUUUUUUAUUUGUACACAAUAAAUAUAAAAUUUGCUCCAAUCAAGUAGAGACAACUACCAAAAUCAAAUGACUAUGUUCAGCAAUUGUAGAAGUCACAUCUCAUGAGCAACAAUCGUUGGAUAAAUAGAAAAAGCUAAAUUGGAUUAAUGAUCCCCGUGAUAAUAGAAUAAUCAGAAGCUAACACUCGUGGUAAAAAAAUUCAGAUUUAAACUCUCGUGAUGAAAUCCGGUAGGAUUCAAGCCCAAAUUAAUAUUUCCAUUUAGUCUCCAUUAACAUUUCCGUUAAGUCUUUUUCCCAGAUUGCUUACAUGCUUAUGGGCCUGCCUCAUUGUUUCUCCUAACAUUCCCACCCUAGCCCCCCACGCUUCCAAACAAUCGUCUCUAAAUACAUUGGACCUGCAUCCUCCUCCUCUCUCUCUCUCUCUCCCUCUCUCUAGUUCUUCAGAUUCCCUUCGUUGUCUGUGCCAUUGUUGAUGAACAAAUCCUCAUAAACAAACCAUUGAGGUCUGCAUGCUACUCCUCUUUUCAUCUUUCUUGGUUUUAGUUCCUACAAAAGUAACAAACAAGCAAUUCAACUAAAGUUCCCGUAUAAGAAAGGAAAGUAUAACUAAGAUUUUCAAUGUUACUUGGGUUGGCUAGUGCUGCAAUAAAUAAAUAAAAUCUAGUCCUUUUGAUUAACAAAAAAGCUUUGAACGAAGUCGGAAUCGAAGCAUGAAACAAAGAAUUCAUAGCCUUGAAUAAAUCUUAUUUUUUUUCUUCCUUUUUUUUGUGAAGGUUGAAUGGGUUAACGGAGGAAUAACGAAAAUGUUAAUUUUGGGCAUGAAUCCUAACAGAUUUCACCAUGAGGGUUUAAAUCUGAAAUUUUUUUACCACGAGGGUUAUCUUCCGAUUACCCUAUCACCACAUAGACCAUUAAUCCAAUUUAGCCAAUAGAAAAAGAAAUCUAACAAAAGAGUCUAGUGAUAUUUUUCCUUGUAAGUGUCUAAUUGAAAUGACAGAGGUUUGAUUUCUAUCAAUAAUCAGUUCAAUCUCAACUUAUUGUGUAGCUUAACUCAACCCAUACUCUUAGGCCAUCUCCAAUCGAAGGAGGGACAGAGGGCUCUCUUUGGCCCUAUAGCCCUCCAAGAAAUUAAUAUUUUAAUGAACAGUGUCAUGCUAUUUUUCUUACAAUCUCCAACCGAGGGGCCAGAGGGCCAUAGGCCAAACAUAGCCAUGUGACAAAAAACCAUCUCCAAUCGAAAGAGCCCAAGGGCCAUAGGGCCAAAUAUAAUUUAUUAUUUUAAUUAAAUUACUAUGGUAACUUAAAUUAAAUUACCUCAAUAAUUUUUACGUUAUGGAUUGUCAAUAAUUUAUCGAGAUGGAAUCUCAAUGAUUUUACAUCUCGGAUUUCAAGUGCCAUGUGUCAAUAUGUGAGUAACUUUACAGAUUUUUGUUGCUAAGAAAUCUUAAUAAUUUUACGUCUCGGAUUUCGAGUGCCAUGUGUCGAUAUGUGAGUAACUUUGCAGAUUUCUUGUUGAUAAGGAAUCUCAAUAAUUUUAGGUCUCGGAUUUCGAGUGUCACAUGUCGAUCCAUGAGUAAUUCUCCAGAUUUCUUAUCGAUAUGUAAUCUCAAUAAUUUUUUGAAUAUGAUUUGAGUGACACAUGUCGAGAUGUAAUUGGUUGUGGAAAUUUUUGAUAGGAUUUUUAUCUGCGUGACACUUUUUAUCUUCAACUUCCAAUGUCCAUAAAUAGGGUGGAUAUUGGCCUAUAAUUCACACACCUUCAACUUUGCCCUUUCCAAUAUCUUUUUCAAUUCAAGUUUGCAAUGAAUUCCAACUUUGGAUCCUCUUUUGGUUCCAACUGGGGGUCCUCUUCCAAUUCUGAAUUGGAAGAUAAAUACGCACAAAUGAGGUGAGAAGAUAAGGAGUCUGAUGAAGAAGAUGAAUCAUGGCACAAUACAUCAUAUAUAGCAGCCAUGGCUUGUCAGGCAACUGAAAAACAACCUCAAUAGGGUGGCUCUAUUGCUGGUCGCGGUUACAAGCCAUAAAAUAGAGAGAUGGCGCAUCAUAAUCUGAUGAACAACUACUUCAACCCCAACUCGGUGUACAACGACGAGGAUUUCAAACGUCGCUUCCGGAUGAGGCAUCAUGUCUUCGAGCGUGUACUUCAUGAUGUCCAACAUGUCAAUCCAUACUUUCAACAGAAACUAGACAGAGCAGGCAGCCCUGGUUUCUCACCUCAUUAGAAGGUUACCAUUGCACUCUGAAUGCUGGCCUAUGCCUCCCUAUGGAUGACACAUAUGGUAUGUCUGAGUCUACAUGCCUUGAUACUCUUGUUGAAUUCUAUCAAACAUUUGUUCAGCUUUACAAAGAGGAGUACCUCCGUUAACCAAAUCAAGCAUAUCUAGAGCGGCUCAUUCGCAAAGCUGAAGAUUGUGACUUUCCGGGCAUGAUAGGGUCACUAGAUUGCAUGCAUUGGCAGUGGAAGAAUUGUCUCACUAGAUGGCAAUGAGGCUGUAACAGAAGAUCGAGAAAACUAACAAUUGUGUUAGAAGUGGUUGUGCCAUUUGACACAUGGAUUUGGCAUGCUUUAUUUGGAGUCCCAGGAUCACAAAAUGAUAUUACAAUUCUUGGCUGUUCAUCCCUUUUCAAUAACCGGACGAAGGGUAAAUCACCUCAACUUGACUACUACGUUAAUUGGUGUCAAUACAAUAUGGGGUAUUACUUGGCAUAUGACAUCUACCCAAAGUGGGCGACACUUGUCCUAGCAAUUGCAAACCCUGCGAAUGAUGCCGAAAAGUGGUUUACCUUACACCAAGAGGCAUACCGAAAAGAUGUUGAAAGAGCUUUCAGUAUUCUACAAGCACGAUGGAAGAUCAUUAAGGAACCAAUAGGAGGUGGAGUUAAGAAAAUUUGGAAUCCAUCAUGAUGUCUUGCAUCAUAUUACAUAGCAUGAUUGUGGAGGAUGAGCGAAAGGGUAUAUUAAUGGAGAGUCUGGUGACGACCAAGAUGAUCCAAAUAGGUCAAGAAGGCUUUGUGCAAAAAUAUAUGAUGGGCCUAAUUUGCAUUUGAAUCCAAGAACUGGUAAUAUCUCUUUAAAUGAGUACAUGAGGGGCCAUAGGAUGAUACGUUCCCGUGCCACAAACAAGUACCUACAACAGAAUCUUGUUGCACAUAUUUGGGCCAAAAGAAGCAUGGAGUAGGUGUUUAAGUAUUAUGUUGUUAAAUGUUUUUAAAAAUGUUGUUUAAGUUUCAUGUUGUUAAAUGUUUUUUUUAUGUUGUUUAAUGUUACUUAAUGUUAUUUAAUGUUGCUUAAUAUUGUUUACUAUUGUUUCAUGUUACUUAAUGUUAUUUAAUGGCUUAGGAAGUUAUAGGGAAAAAAAUUUUGAAAAAAAAAAUGUAAAAAAAAAAACAAUCAAAUAUAACAGCUAGCUGACAUCAGCAACUAGCCGUUGGUUUCAAACAUUUGGCCCACCCUGGGGCUGGCUAGGUUGGGCCAGCCGGUUGGCCAUUAUCUCUGUUUUUGGCCUGGUGGGACCCACGUGCCAUUCUGCCUAGCCCUUGCUUGGAGUGGUUUUUGUGACAUUUCGAGUUAUUUUCAAUCCUAUGACCCUUUGACCAGAUCGAUUGGAGAUGACCUUAAUUUCGUGAGUGCAUUUUUGCUCACCACCAUUUAUGUGGUGUAUGCUUACCAUCCUAUUUAUCACCGUUAGAUGAAUUUGAAUUUUGAGAUUUGUGCUUAUCCACGACAUGAAUCUCGAAAUUCAAACUCAUUUAACGGUGAUAAAUAGGGUGGUGAACAUACACCACACUAAAUGGUGAUGAGCAAAAAUGCUCCCUAAUUUCGUGGUAGGGAAGGAGUCUUUGAGGGUGGAUUUCUAGGCUAGCUAGAAAAAGUGGGCCUGCAUGUUAUAACUUAGGAACAAGGUAACCCAUCAAUGCUUGAUUUUAUUUAAAUAAUAAUUACAAAGUUAGUUCACCGCCUUAUAAUAAGUCAAAGGGAUGUGAUAUCCACACACAAUUUUUUACUUCUCUCACACCUUUUUAGUUUUUCGGCUGUCCGAUUGGAUGAAUUGAAAAAAAAUCAAUGGACAUAAAUUAACAAGGGGUGUGUGAGAAGUAAAAAAAGGUGUGUGGAUAGCACACCCCUAAGCAAAAUCUUUCUUAAUCGAAAUCGAAGGGUAAUUUAGAGCAAUCCAGCUUUUGUUGUUGGGAAAUGACAACCAAACAAUUUUCUUUAUCCUCCUAUACAUCCUUUUUAAUGUUGUUCAUGUUUUUCGUUUGAUUUUAUUUAAAGAGAGGGAAGAAAAAAUUAGCGUGUAGUUAUCAAAUUUUUUUAUAUAACUAAUUAUUAUGAGGCCAGUAUUAACUCAGCCCCAACACUAUAUUGGUCUAAAAUUUAACCACCAAAGUUGAAUAUUAAGUUGUGUAAUUAGUCCAACUUAAGUUCAAUGCUAUUAGUAAUGAACUAUCUGCUUUUAUAUUCUACAUUGUGAUAUUUUUUUUAUGACAUUCAUGAUAUAUAUCAAGCCACACAACCACAACAUUAUUGAUACCCUUCCAUCUCAAAACACGCAUUCCCCGUAAUCAAACCUCUACAUUUAUUGUAAUUACAAUACGCUCAUUUGGGAAUAAUUUUAUUGGGCAUGGGAUGGGUGGCUAGAGCAUUGUUCAAAUGGUUCAACCUCAACAAGAUAUUCAGUAAGAUUGCUUGAUUACAAAGGGCCCACCAUUUCACAAGUUUUUGUCAUGCACUCAGAAGGUUAACUGAUUUUUUUUAUAUAAAUGAUAAAAUAAUUACACUAAAUUCAUAAAAUAUGAGAAAAAAAUAUUCGAACUUGGUUGUAAAGGGUGGAGCACAUUGCUCUUUUAUUUUAUUCACGUGGUGCAAAUUUUGUGUCCACCUCAACACAAACAUGGGCAUACGCAUGCGAAGUAAGCAAAAAGUAACUGGCGAAAGCAAUACUUUAUACUAAUCCACACCAAAUGGAGGGGAAAAAGUUUGAACUCAAGACAUAGUAGAUUAAAAAAGAACACCCUAACCACUAGAGAGAUCCACCACUUGAGCUACCUUAAUUGGAGAGGUCCCGAAAUUCAAACUCCUGGUUCUCAAUGAGUAGACAGUGUUAUACAAGAAUGCAAGAAGUCUGGAUGUGUAAAAACUUCUGAACAGGGGCUUCCACUUCUUCAACCCAGUGUUGUUAUUUGUCACAUUUUUUUAUAGGACUAGUUGUUCAAGUAGGCCCAGUAUAUUCUCCAUCAAGGGUUUUUGCUGGGCUACAUAAAGCUUGGGCUCAUACAGUGGGUAAAUGUCCCCACUGUCAAUUCUCUCUCUUUCUCUUCCACUUCUUCAACCCAGUGUUGUUAUUUGUCACAUUUUUUUAUAGGACUAGUUGUUCAAGUAGGCCCAGUAUAUUCUCCAUCAAGGGUUUUUGCUGGGCUACAUAAAGCUUGGGCUCAUACAGUGGGUAAAUGUCCCCACUGUCAAUUCUCUCUCUCUCUCUCUCUCUCUCUCUCUCUUUUGGUUCAAACACUGUGAAUUUUCUCUAGUGCACAUCAAAAUAGUACAUUUAAGUUGCACAUCUGAACAAAUUGUUAGAUCCUGUUAGGUUAAAAUGGUAUAAUGACUCUUAUUUAAAUAUGUGACUUGAAUGUGCAUGUAGACAUGUAAAUUUCGUUGCAUACAAAUGAUGCAUCACAAAGCUUCAUGUGGCAUAUGACUCAUCACAAAUGGACAAAUCAUCAAUGACAUAUGGCAUAAAUCAAGCAAGGGAAGUAUAAAACAUUCCCAAAAUUUGGCAAAAGGUUCUAAAGUGAUCCUAAAACUAGAAAGAAAGCUAAGGCAUCUUCACAAAACAAGCAAGAAUUGAAGAUUGUUCACAAAAUAGGCAAUAAAGCCUCUAAAUUUCGGCCAAGGGGAGUAAAGGUGGCUGAAAUUAAGACACAAAAUAUGCCUAAAUUAAAUCAUGGACGAAUCAAGACACAAAUCAAAGCUAAAUCCAUCCAAAGGCAAGCUUUGAGAAGUCUAUAAAUACAAGGUCCUCCCAUAAGCAUAGGGUCGAAAAUUACACAUUGAGGAGAACCUCUGCCAAAUCUUUGAAGACUAAUACGCUGCCAAAGCUCUUUUCGAAGAACUCAUAACCAAAGUUAAAGCUUUUUUUCGACCAAAAGCCGAAGCACUCUCUUGAAGAAUCAACAAGCACUUGUGCCGAUUCUUUCAAGACUUUGUUACAAUCUCAAAACUUGUAAUAACGUUCGAUUCAAGAUCAAGUCGUCAAGGCCCUUGAAUCAACGAAAUCUCAUAUCUACACCAUCUUUGCUACAGCUUUGCGGUGAAGACUAACGAAGCAUUGUUUCAAGCUCAAAACUUAAAGCAAUUGUUCAAUCGUUCAUCCGAGAUCAAGUCAUUGCGACCCUUGGAUCAACAACCUACGCAUCUACAUCAAAUUUGAAGACUGAAUUGGAGGAAAAUUGUAAACAAAGAUUGUAACCUACAAAUUCAAAUUAAUACAAAUCUACUUUGUACACGUGGUUCUCAUUUCAUUCAUUACAGAAUUUUCGUGUUUACAAUGUACUUUUGAUGUGCACUAGAAAAUGACAUCCGCACUAACUUAAGUGCCUACCGCCUUAUUUAUUAUUGUUUAAAAAUUUAAAUUAGUAGAGAAUUGCUACUAGUCAAAGGGAUCCACACCCGCUCUGGCUCUAUUGUAGAACACAAGAACGCGGGACUUAGGCCAUCUCCAACCGACCCACCCAAAGAGUCAUAGGGCUAGCAAUAGCUCAAAAUGACACAAAAAUCGUCUCUAACUGAGGGCUAGGCCAAAGGGCUUGUGGGACCCACUGGGCCAAAACCACCAAAUCAGGCCAACGAGCUUGGCAUUUCUAGCUAACCAGCCAGCUCGAUGAGCCCAGCCAACUUUUUUCUUUUUUGGACAAUUUUUUUUUAAAUUUCUAAUUUUUUUCAUACACCAUUUCUCACAUACUUUUCACCAUUCCAUACUAUCUCACUUCAUUUUAUUUCAAUUCUUCACAUUCUAUUCUCUUCCAAUAAUAUUUCCUUUAAUUUUUUCAACAAUUUUCAAAUGGCCACCUCUUUCAAUAAUUUUCCAAUAUGUCCGAAAAUCUUAUUUUAAUAUGGUAGUUAAUUUAAUUAACUAUAUUAAUUCAAUAAAAAUAGUAAAUUAUGUUUGGCCUAUGGCCCCUCGGUUGGAGAUGGUUUUUUGUUAAAGGGCUAUGUCACAGCUCGUCCCGGAUAUGUUUAUUAUUUUACCCUUGACGGCGUGAAAUUACUUAAAUGCAUUGGACGUUUUGAGUUGUGUGGUGUGGUUUAGACUUGCGUGGUGGACCAAUAUGCUAAGUUCUAAUUAUUUUAGACCAAUCCUUUUUAUUCCUAAGUAUUUGGAACUAAAGGAAUUUGUUUGUGUUGUUUGGUAGCCAAUUAGGACCACAUACAUCCAUACACACACAAAAACACAACCCGUUGACCCUCCCUCUCCCUCUCUCCUCCCUCUCUCGGAUUUCUACCAUCGUCCGUACCAUUGUACGGACAAUCUUUGACCCAACAUGUUUCUUCACGGAUCGACGUUAAAAAGGUAAUAUUCUUGUUCCCUACAAGCUCUUGAGUUCAUUCGUACCAUCUUUAGGACUUGAAAACUUCGAAAACCCGAGAAAUUGAGAUCCUAGUUUUGAGGUACUAUUCAUGUAGUCGUAAUUAUGGAUGUUUCAGGAAAAUUUAAGCUUGUAGGAAGCUUUAGAAUGUCCUUAAGAAGCUCGGAGAAGAAAAACCAAGUAUUUUGGACGUCGGGAAGUCGAGUUUGACGAGUUGUAAGUUUUGUUCAGAUUAUCGAGUUUUCUUCAUCGAGAUUCCGUGGAUUUCAAGGUUUGAAAUUGGUAAGGUUUUGUUCUUCUAGUUGCAAGCUUCAUUUUGGGACAAAUUUGAGGUAAUUCAGUUAAGAAAUGACUAAAAUAUCAAGGUUUUUCGAAUUUCCAGUUUUCCAGCGACGGCAACGGUCAUCGGAGUCGAAGGAAGAAGACGAGCGAAUAUUCCAUCAACUUUGACGGAAUAUUCUAACAGCGUCAGGUUAGUUUUAACGGUAUAUGUUAUUAUUUAAUGGAAUAUUCCCUAACACCGUUAGGAUUACCGUCAGUGUGCCUGGCACAUGCUCGUGCGUGGGCAGCGUCUGGACGUACCUUGGCCAGCGAGUGACGGCGCGUGGGUGGUCAUAAAUUUUUCUAAAAAUAUUGGGAUGUUUGUGAGGUUGUGUGAUGCGUGAAUUACUUGACACACAAAUUAAACCCUCUUUUUGACAAUUGUAGUAUAGAUGUAAGUAGGGUAUCGUUCUAGGCCGGGGAUUAGGAGGGAUUGCUAAUCUAUUAAAUUAACUUAAAAAUAUUAAAUAAGACUCAAGGACACAAAACUAGGCUAAAAACUCUAAUAACUCGAAACACACUUAAAAUGACUCAAAAUAAUGAAAACAAUUAAAUUAAACACUAGGAACUGAAAUGGACGGAAAUUAAAUUAAAAGACUAACAAUAAAGAAAACUAAAUAAAUAAUAUAAUUUAAUAAUGGAUGGGUGUUUGGUUUUGAUGAAAAGUAAAUUAAACUUAAUUAAAUUACAGAAUUGACAAAAACAUAAAAUUAAGGUAAAAUGAUAAAUGACGGACUAGCUAGAGGGUUUUUCUCCACACAUGACACAUAUGCAACCUAAAUUGAUUUUCAAUUGUUCUUUCAAUAAGUUGUGAAUUUCAACACUUCAGAUUAACCGUGAAUAGCACUUUUUUAAUCUUCAAGUUUUCCUUAAGUUAUUGAAUUGGACGGGAAAACGCAUACAACAAUUCAAAACAUUCUUCAAAAGUCCCCUACGUGAAAAGCACAAUAGAGAUACAAUCAAAGAUCAUUAAACUUUGUGAAAACUAUAAGCAUUGACGAGGCAUUCGUAACUAUGAAAAGCAUGAUACUCUUGCCAAGAAUUUACUUAACGUGAUUGUGACUAGCAACCUUUACUACUUGUGAAAAUAAGUUCAUAACGAUUAGGUGAAAUUCACUUAUAUUCUAGCAUCAAAUUCAUGCAUGUAAAUUAAGCGUGCACUCUCAACCAACAUACACAAAUCAGUUUUUAUACGAACGGAUAAGUAAAUUGAAAUCACAACUUAUGAAAUCACAACCGAAGGUAAUCAAUUCAUAUUACAAAUAUAUUCAUGGCUUUGAAUUAACCUCUAGCCAAAAUAAAUUUAAUUACACAUUAUUAAAACAAAAAUAAAAUAGAAGUUUGAAAAGAUUAAACCGAAAGAAGGUGAUCUGUUGCUUUCGUGCCCACGCUGCCAAGGGUAGCUUUCUGUGCCGUUGGUUUCUCGUUCCUGCGCCUGCCGUUCUCUCCCCUCGCGCUGAUUUCUUCUCGCUGACCCCGUGCUGCCCAAGGCAGCCUCCUUAUUUCUCUCUUUCCUGCGUCUCUGCGAGCUGCCCAAAGGGCAGCCCCUUUCUCCCGCUCCCCAGACCCCCCUGUCUUCUGACCUCUUUCCCUCCUUUUAUUAUUUUCCUCCCUCCACCAAAAAUGAAGCUCGAGCUGCCUACCUCGACAACCAAGCAGGUACUUCUUGAUUUUAUUCUUGCAUCAAUUCUGACCGUCCCUUUUCUCCACGUCAGCCCCCACCUGCUUUCACGUUUCUGCCUUGCUAUCUUUCUUUCCUUUAUUUUAUUUGUUUCUCUUUUUCUUUCCUGUUUUCACUUCAUAUUUUUAUUUCCAUCCCAUCUGCUGACCAGCUGCAAAGCAGCUUUUCACGCCUAGCUUUGGACCUGCCACUUAUUCCCUUUGCAGUCUGUCCGUCCCACGUUUUUCUAUUUAAUUUCUCAGUGCUUUCCACUUUCUUCUCCUACAAACACAAUAAAUCAAAAUAAACCAAAAUAAAACCCAAUCCAAAAAUAAAACCAAUAUUCUUUCUGUUUAUUAUUUAAAACUCAUUUGUGCUAUUUUUAUUUUCUUUGCAUAACAAAUCCUAAAAACAUAAAAAUAACGUAAAUAGAUUAAAAAUAUAAGGAACUAACUAAGAAAAGAUGAGUGAAUUCGAAGUAAAAAUAUAUAUAAAUAUCAUCCGAUCAAAUACCCCCACACUUAACUUUUGCUAGUCCUCGAGCAAAACAAAGAAAACAAGAACAAGAAGUAACAAGAAAAACAUUAGUUUCUCCCUAUCUGACCCUCAUAGAAUUUCAUUUAAGAAAACAAAUCAUCAAGAACCAUAGCUAGCAUCAAGGAACUAAUCCAAGUUCAUCUUCCUUAUUCAAAUAUUAGCAGUAGUCUUCAAAUCAUCCUUGAAGUGUAGUGUGUGAGAUAGCCAUGCUAAUGCAAUUUCAAGUUUUUAUUUUUAAAAUCAUCAUAUGCAAACUAGUGACCUUCUCAUGGGAUAUGCACUCAAUCACACAUGUGUUUAGUUUUAAUGUGUUUCGCUCAAAGAAACAAAUGUGAAAUUUCUACCAUAAGCUUGCAUAAAGAUCACUUCUCCUCAGUCAUAAUUGCAAAACUUAAAUCAAGAGGACUUUUAUUGGAUGUAAUGAGGCUUGGGGAUAGGGUUAUUGAAAUGAAAGAAUAGGAAAACACAAGUUCCAAGCUAUAUUGCAAGCAAUUCUUUUGUUUAGAUUUAUAAGAACUCAAUUUUUCCAGCGAUUCUUCUAGCACCUCCAACCAUACCCUUAAACUGAAACUUUUAAAAAAAACUUUUUUUUUCUUUUUUUUUCUUCUUUUUUUUUUUUUUUUUUUUUUUUUUUUUUUUUUUAAUACAAACAUGAAAUACCCCUACACUUAAUCUUUUGCUAAACAUCUUCACAGUACUUCACAAACGUUUCUCAUAAAACAAUCUCACAUUGCUCACUAGCUUGCUUGGAAAGGGUAAGGAAAAAUGUUUCAGGUAUAAGGGUAGACAUAUCUGGUGAUAAGAAAUAAAAGGCUCAACAUACAUGGCUCAAAUUGGCAAUCUAAUGAUAUCAUUUUUCUUUGGGAAACAUGGUUAUUUGGGCCAUAGUGGUAAACCUAAUGCCUCUAUCAUUUCCAAGUUUAUGCAAUCAAUGACAAACAUUUCGAAAGAUCGUUACGCAAGUUCUAGAGAUGUAUCUCACAUAAGUUCAUCACACAUGAAAAAAUAGGAGUGUAUGAAAAAUGCACACACUUUCAAUAGGCUCAAAAACUCACAUAGGAUGUAUAUGGUCACUAAAUUCACAUAUGAAGCUUUAAGUCAUACUUUAGUUUCACAUUAACAAGGCUAUGUGCAUUUGGUUUUUCAAAGAUGGUCAAACAUGUACAAAACUAACAAGAGAAUAAGGAAUUUCACAAAACACAUGUUAACUAAGUUCUUGAUGAUCAUGGUUCGAAUUUGAUCCAAUUAUAUCAUUGGGUCGGGAAACUAACAAAAAACUAAUUCAAAACAAUAAGGGAAACAAGACAAUAUUUUUGGAUUUUUUAAAUUUUCCGAUUUUUUUAUUUUUUUUUAUUUAUUUUUUUUUAUUUUUUAUUUUUUAAGAAAACAAAAACUAACAACACAUAAACAAAUGAAAUUCUAGAGAUUUCUACCCCCACACUUAAACUUGACAUUGUCCCCAAUGUCAGAAAACACUAUAAUGCAAAUAAAAAAAAUAAAAUAAAAUAAAUAAAUAAUAAGAAACAAAAUAACGCAAUUGGACUGAAAACUUCCCUAAUUUGCAGUAAAAUCAAGCGAUGACCCCCAAGCUAAAAUUCUGCAAUCAACUUCAAGGGUGGAAAUAACCAAAAGUUCCUGCAAAGAAAAGAAAUAAUUCAGUUAAGUACGCAAGAAAAUUAAUUAAAAAAAAAAAUUGCAAACGAAAAAUUGAAAAUUACGAUAAAAGAUAAUGAAUAAAACUAAUAAGUAAUCAUUGGUCGUGCUUGUUGACUUUCCACAGCUUUCCUCUUGAACAGGGUGACACUUAGCUUUUCACUUGCAAGUGAUGAUUUUAUGAUAUUGUACGGCGAAGCUUUGCUCUUUGGUUAUGUUGCAGUUCCUUAUUUGUUCUCCAAGCAGAUGUGGCAGCUUCUCUAGUUCCUCAGUUCGGACUCCUUCCGCUGGGAUGAUUGUGCAAGCUGCAUUCUUCUCUGCUUGUUUCUUCUGCACAACGGGCAGGCACGAGGGAAAGGUGUUGGUCCUUAUUUCUUUCUUCAAUCUUUCCAAGUGCCCACCUCUUGCUUUCUUUCUCCUUGUCCCUAGCUGAAUUGUCUCCACAUGCUUCGAGGUAUCAUUUUCACUUCCCUUACUGUCCCCCAGGCAGAUGUGGUAGACGAAGAGAAAGCAUAAAAAUGAUGAAGAUGAGUACUCGAGAGCAAGGCUAGGUAAGCAAUCAGGAAAGGGUUCCAGGCAGUUGGCUCCAGAUUGGAAGAUUGAUACCAAAUGCUGGCUGAUUGCUCUCUUUCUCCUUGUCGGAAAACAAAGACAAGGAGAAGGACAUGGAGAAAGCAUGAUAUGAGAUACUCUUGCUUUCAACCUUUAUGAUAUGAAAUACUUUUGCUUUGAAUGGGUUGUUCGCAGGAGUAUCCCAAGGAAUGAGGAACACAGAGUGACUCGAGAGGAUUAUUUGGGAAUGCAUUUUCGGAGAUGAAGAGGUGUUGAGAGGGUGUGCUGAGAGAGUGUGCUUUUGCUGUGGAAGGCGAAGGUAGAAACUUAUAGGACUUGCCUUCACAACCGGAACUGUUCUCUCACUCAUUGUCGGCAGCCGGUGGAUGGAUGAAUAGUACAAAUUACGCGCUUUUUGACAAAGCUGCCCGUAAUUUCCGCAAAGCAGAUUCCUCAUUGAUAUCUGGAAUCGGCGCUUCGAGCUCUGAGCAUCGUCGAUUGUAGAGGUAGCAUGUGACACGUGCGGAUAAAUCUGGAAAAGAAGAUUUGCCCGUGGGUUGAAGCCCAGCUUUUGAGAAAGCUAGCGUGUCUUUAACUGUUGAAUUUCCCUCUUCGAUUUCUGAAUUGGUGCUUCGACAAACUGCCCGAGAUUUCCGCAAAGCAAUUCGCGUGUGACAAGUGACGACACGUCUGGACAAUUGAUCCUUUGAAAUCCGGGGUUCGGCUCGUGGUUUCUGAGCAAGCCCAGCCUUUAAGAAAUGAAACCUCUUUUGAGAAAAGAAUCCGGCUUUUGAGAACGGAAACUCCUCUUUUGAGAAAAGAAUCCGGCUUUUGAGAAAUGAGCCCCGACUCUUCGAUUUGCGAGAGGACGCUUCUCUGAGGAGCGCCUCUUUGAUUUCUUCUUUUUAUAGAGGCGUUAAUUUUGUUCCACAACACACUUGAGUACCCUCCUGUAAACACUCCCUUCUUGCACUUGUUUAAUCUUGAUCAUUCCGACUCUCUUCUUUCUUUACCACCUCUGAAAAAUGUCUGGCCCUUCUGAUCGUCGUUUUGACUUGAACAUUGGUGAAGAGGCAGCUCCGCCUUCACCAGACAACAUAUGGCGGCCAUCCUUCAUAUCCCCUACCGGUCCCCUUACCGUGGGGGAUUCGGUGAUAAAAAAUGAUAUAUGACAGCUGCGCGGUGGUGGCCCGAAACCUUGUCACUCCCAGAGAUAACAGACUGCUCGCAAGGCGGUCUGAUGAAUUGGCGGUCAAGGAGUCUCUGGCUCUCAGUGUGCAGUGUGCGGGUUCCGUAUCCAACAUGGCCCAACGCCUAUAUGCCCGAACCCGUCACGUUGAAUCCUUGGUGGCUGAAAUACAGUGUCUCAAGCAAGAGAUUAAAGGGCUUAAGCAUGAGAAUAAGGAAUUGCACAAGCUCGCACACAGCUAUGCCACCAGCAUGAAGAGGAAGAUUGACCAGAUGCAGGACACCGAUGGUCAAAUUUUACUUGAUCAUCGGAGGUUUGUGGGUUUGUUCCAACAACAUCUGCCUUCGUCUUCUGGAGCGGCACCGCGUAGUGAAGCUCCAACUGAUCAACCUCUGCUGCCUCCUCCUUCUGUGGCCCCGCCGACUGCUGAAGCCCCGCCCACUACUGAAGCACCACCCGACCAAUGAAUACUAUUAGUUUACAUUAUUGUAAAAUAUUGCAUUUUUUUUUUUUAUGUAUUUUUUUUUUUAAUAAUUUUUUAUUUAUUUAUUUAUUUAUUUUUUUUUAUGUUUAUUUUUUUUUUCAUUAAUUUUAAAUUUUAUCUUUUUUUUUUCUUUUUAAAUGUAAAUUAAUGUAAAGAGACUUUGGUUAACCUUCCCCCACACUUAAACUAAAUAACACAAACACAAACUCACAGAAAUCAACCAAAUAACACAACUAACUAAACAAAACAAAAUGAAAGCAGUAAAGAUAAGGGUGGAAGAAUGCAAAGCUGAUUGGGUUAGUGAUUCCAAAGUCUCCCUUCGUUGAAUGCUUGGGUUGCCUCCCAAGAAGCGCUUGAUUUAACGUCUUUAGCCGGACGCAUCUUUCCUUUAAAUUUCCCUCAGCUCCAUUUGUGCCUAAAAUCAAAGAAAGAAAAAUAAAUCAAAUAUCAAAAGUAAAAUACACAAACACCAAUAUAAACAUAAACAAAAACAAAAAUAAAAGGAUUAGCAAAGUUACUAAUCCCCGGCAACGGCGCCAAAAUUUGAUGCGUGAAUUACUUGACACACAAAUUAAACCCUCUUUUUGACAAUUGUAGUAUAGAUGUAAGUAGGGUAUCGUUCUAGGCCGGGGAUUAGGAGGGAUUGCUAAUCUAUUAAAUUAACUUAAAAAUAUUAAAUAAGACUCAAGGACACAAAACUAGGCUAAAAACUAAUAACUCGAAACACACUUAAAAUGACUCAAAAUAAUGAAAACAAUUAAAUUAAACACUAGGAACUGAAAUGGACGGAAAUUAAAUUAAAAGACUAACAAUAAAGAAAACUAAAUAAAUAAUAUAAUUUAAUAAUGGAUGGGUGUUUGGUUUUGAUGAAAAGUAAAUUAAACUUAAUUAAAUUACAGAAUUGACAAAAAAUAAAAUUAAGGUAAAAUGAUAAAUGACGGACUAGCUAGAGGGUUUUUCUCCACACAUGACACAUAUGCAACCUAAAUUGAUUUUCAAUUGUUCUUUCAAUAAGUUGUGAAUUUCAACACUUCAGAUUAACCGUGAAUAGCACUUUUUUAAUCUUCAAGUUUUCCUUAAGUUAUUGAAUUGGACGGGAAAACGCAUACAACAAUUCAAAACAUUCUUCAAAAGUCCCCUACGUGAAAAGCACAAUAGAGAUACAAUCAAAGAUCAUUAAACUUUGUGAAAACUAUAAGCAUUGACGAGGCAUUCGUAACUAUGAAAAGCAUGAUACUCUUGCCAAGAAUUUACUUAACGUGAUUGUGACUAGCAACCUUUACUACUUGUGAAAAUAAGUUCAUAACGAUUAGGUGAAAUUCACUUAUAUUCUAGCAUCAAAUUCAUGCAUGUAAAUUAAGCGUGCACUCUCAACCAACAUACACAAAUCAGUUUUUAUACGAACGGAUAAGUAAAUUGAAAUCACAACUUAUGAAAUCACAACCGAAGGUAAUCAAUUCAUAUUACAAAUAUAUUCAUGGCUUUGAAUUAACCUCUAGCCAAAAUAAAUUUAAUUACACAUUAUUAAAACAAAAAUAAAAUAGAAGUUUGAAAAGAUUAAACCGAAAGAAGGUGAUCUGUUGCUUUCGUGCCCACGCUGCCAAGGGUAGCUUUCUGUGCCGUUGGUUUCUCGUUCCUGCGCCUGCCGUUCUCUCCCUCGCGCUGAUUUCUUCUCGCUGACCCCGUGCUGCCCAAGGCAGCCUCCUUAUUUCUCUCUUUCCUGCGUCUCUGCGAGCUGCCCAAAGGGCAGCCCCUUUCUCCCGCUCCCCAGACCCCCCUGUCUUCUGACCUCUUUCCCUCCUUUUAUUAUUUUCCUCCCUCCACCAAAAAUGAAGCUCGAGCUGCCUACCUCGACAACCAAGCAGGUACUUCUUGAUUUUAUUCUUGCAUCAAUUCUGACCGUCCCUUUUCUCCACGUCAGCCCCCACCUGCUUUCACGUUUCUGCCUUGCUAUCUUUCUUUCCUUUAUUUUAUUUGUUUCUCUUUUUCUUUCCUGUUUUCACUUCAUAUUUUUAUUCCAUCCCAUCUGCUGACCAGCUGCAAAGCAGCUUUCACGCCUAGCUUUGGACCUGCCACUUAUUCCCUUUGCAGUCUGUCCGUCCCACGUUUUUCUAUUUAAUUUCUCAGUGCUUUCCACUUUCUUCUCCUACAAACACAAUAAAUCAAAAUAAACCAAAAUAAAACCCAAUCCAAAAUAAAACCAAUAUUCUUUCUGUUUAUUAUUUAAAACUCAUUUGUGCUAUUUUUAUUUUCUUUGCAUAACAAAUCCUAAAAACAUAAAAAUAACGUAAAUAGAUUAAAAAUAUAAGGAACUAACUAAGAAAAGAUGAGUGAAUUUGAAGUAAAAAUAUAUAUAAAUAUCAUCCGAUCAUUGUGUAGAUCACGUUGGUAUAUUCAAACAUCCCAUUGGAGCAAUGUCUGAGAAGUUAUUAACUAGUUUUGUCUAUGUGCUUUAAUUAAUGUAUUUAUAGUUAUUUCACAUAUAGGGGAGACCUAUCCCGAGGACGAGGGCAGUCAAGGGCAGCUUAGGGGCUACGACCCUUCGACUUACCAAUGAGUGGACUUUUGGUUUUCAGUAUAUAUGUAUAUGCUUGAUAUCUUUCCCAGAAAAUGCAUGUAAAUGAGUUAUGAUUUAAAUUGCCCUGCCAAAUGUUUUACAUUUAGAAUAUGCAUAUGAUGUUUGCAUAUAUAUAUAAUUGUGGUGCUAUGGACGCUCAGGUAAGUCCUAGGUGAGUUUAUGAAUUGCAAAUGUGAAUAACGGUUGUGAGUAAUUGAAAGACAUUGAGCUCAUAAACCUAGACCCCAAUGUUAGUGAUUUAGCUAGAGAUAUGGCAAGCCUGUAUAUGAUGUCACCUCUUGCACCAUAUGCUCACAUUGGAUCCAAUUUAGGUGCACAGUCUUGUCGUACCGACCACUAUAGGUGGUUCUGACUCGUUGGUGAUUAGCGAUUUAUCGCAUAACUAUCAUGAGAGUGUAGCAUUGAGCAUAACUAUAUUACACCCAGUUUUUUCGUACAGACCAUUACAGGUGGUUUUGACUCGUGUGCAGAUGUAGUGCCAUACAGGUCACCUUCUGUGACUCCGGCUAGAUUUGAUCAAUGAGCUUAUUUUCACCUGAGUUACUCAUUCUGUUAUAUAUUUGUCAAGGCAUACUUAUGAACAUGGAUACGUGAAGCAUAAAUUGAUAUACAUAUAUAUAUUCAUUUAUAUUCCAUCUGAGGGAAAAUUAUACAUGUUUUACGGCGAGAGGUUAGAGCAUUUGAUAAAUGAAAUGGUUUUGAAAAGCUUUGGUUUUGCCCACUCACACUUUCUGUUUUGCACCCCUCUAGGUUUUAGAUAAGCUUGCAAAGUUGGUGGCUCAUAAGGAUUGAUUGGAGGUUCUGAUAGACUAUCACAAAUGUAGGGCAUCUUUGGGUGUCAUUUAAUUAGUACUUGUUUUCUGAACUGAACUUAGGCUACUUAUGCUCUUGUUGUAUAUUCACACAUAUUCUAGCACUUGUCUUAACUAGUACUCUUAUGAGUUGGUUUUCAUUUAUUCGUAUUCUCUAUUAUCAUUAUUGCUUCUGCACUGUGUAUAUGGCUACGUCACCCUCAUGUGACGGCCAGCAUGCCCUGAUUCUGGUCGGGGUGUGUCAGUUUGGUAUCAGAGCCUAGGUUUAGUAGUCAUGUAUAGAUCGUGAAUAUUUUAAUCAUUAUGAUGUCUUCUAUCAGAACUAUGCCACCUCGUAGAGAGCGACAUCACUCAGUUGAACCUAGUUUCCCUGAUAUUGCUCAGUUAGGGGAAGCUAUAGCUAAUGCCAUUCAGUCUUCGCUAUGUCCUCCUCAAAGGAUACCUCUUGAAACCGUGUAUAAUCUGAAGCUAAUCAUUUUAUGGGGAAUGAAGGACAUGAAGGAGAGGAGAAAUGGAUCAAUCAUAUUGAGAAGACUUUUCGUGUACUGUAGAGUCAGGGGAAUCUUUCGCCUGAUAGGUGGGUUGAGACGACUACCUAGUUUUUGGGUUCGGAGCCUACAUCUUGGUGGAGACAAGAGUCCUAUCAGCUGACCCCAGAGGAAAUUGCGGACUAGGAAGUGUUUAACCAAUUGUUUCAGAAAAUUUUUAUUCCCCCUAAGUAUAUUGAUCACAAAAAACAAGAAUUUAGGCAUCUGAAACAAGGAAAGAUGACAACGAAUGAAUAUUAUAGGAGAUUCACUAACUUGUCUUGCUAUCAUCUGGAGGUUGUUGCUAAUCCAGUUGAGAUGCUCCGUCGUUUCAAGUUGGGUACUAAGAGGAAAUGGCGUUCUAUAGCGACCUCGACUCAUUGUGCCACUUACCAGAAGUUUUAUGAGAUUUUGUUAAGGAUUGAGGACUCAGAGAACAUGCCUAGUGAAAGUGAAGAAGAAGAAGAAAAGAACGGGAACCAGAGGCAAGAUGAUAAAGGUAAAGGUCAGUCUUCUCAAGGACCUCAUAAGACCUAGAGUUUUAAGAGGAGUGGAACUAGUUCCAACUCUUCUAGCGGAGGUUUUAGUGCCACUAGUCAGAUGAGACGUGGUAGAUUUUCAGGAGGUCCUAGAUUUCAGAGGCAGGGAGAUGUUGGAAGAGGAAGUGCUCAUUUAUGCCAUAAAUGUAAUAAUAGAUAUUUUGGGGAGUGUAGGAGAGGCAGCAGUGGAUGCUAUACUUGUGGACAGAUGGGGCAUAGGGUUGUACAUUGCCCUUAAAAUCAGCAGAGGCCUCAACAGCCUUCCUUACCACCACCUGCGCCGACCCAUCAAGUUUCAGGACCUAGUGGUUAUGCCCAGACUGGUCGUGGUGGUGCUUAUCAUUAUCAGGGCGACGCCACUCCUUAUGUUACAGGGCAAUAUCAGUAUCUGCAGGACCCUCAUUAUCAGGGUGGUUACCCACAGUAUCUUGGAGGUUCUAUGGCAUAUCAGCCACAUUCAGCAGAUGGAUUCUAGUGGUACCAGGGGGGACAGCCCCUGCAGAUAGACAUUGUUGCUAGCAGUGCAAGAUCUUCGAGACAAUUGGGUCAGCCAAGACAAAGACAAGGUAUUCAUGCUAACAGAAAUUGUGGUGGACGACAGCAAAAUCAAGGACGUAUCCACAAAAUGACACUACAGGAUGCUCAGAACAAUCUUGAUUUAAUCAUGGGUACGUUAAAUAUUCUUGGUCAUUUUGUUAGAGUAUUAAUGAAUUAUGGUGUUAUGCAUUAUGUUGUUUCUCUUACAUUUGCUCAAGUGAUGCAACCUCAUCCUACACUUCUAGGAUAUGAUUUAGAGUUUUCUAUGCCUAGAUGGGAAAGAUGUUAUGUUGAUCGGGUGUAUCCAGGAUGUCCAAUGAUGGUGGAGGAUGUUGUUAUGCCAGCUAACCUUAUUCUGUUAGACAUUGUUGAUUUUGAUGUGAUUUUAGGCACUGAUUGGUUACACUACAAUAGUGCCAAGAUAGAUUGCUACGGGAAAACGGUUACUUUCCAUCGUCUAGGAUUAUCUGAAGUUACUUUUGUGGGAGAUCGUAAUGGGGUGAGGCAUGGCGUUAUUUCUACUGUAAGAGCAAAAAGAUUGUUGUCGAAGGUUUGUCAGGGAUAUUUGGCUCAUGUGGUGUUGAAUAAUAAUGCUCCUAGUAGUGUAGAUGAUGUACGAGUAGUUAGACAUUUUCCGGAUGUGUUCCCUGAUGAUCUUCAUGGAUUGCCGCCAAACCGAAAUGUGGAGUUCACUAUUGAUUUACUCCCACGUACGGAUCCUAUAUCCUUAACUCCGUAUAGAAUGGCUCCUGUUGAAUUGAAGGAAUUCAAAGUCCAGUUGCAGGAAUUAGUCGAUAAAGGUUUUAUUCAGCCUAGUACUUCACCCUGGGGAGCUCCAAUUUUGUUUGUAAAGAAGAAAGAUAGGACUUUGAGGCUAUGUAUUGAUUAUAGGCAAUUGAAUCGGGUAACGAUUAAAAACCGUUAUCCAUUGCCGCGUAUAGAUGAUUUGUUUGAUCAACUUCGAGGUGCCUGUGUGUUUUCUAAGAUUGAUUUGAGGUCUGGUUAUUACCAAUUGAAGAUCAGCAAUGAGGAUGUCCCUAAGACUGCUUUCAGGACUUGAUAUGGUCAUUAUGAGUUUCUAGUAAUUCCAUUCGAAUUAACGAAUGCACUAGCAACUUUCAUGGAUUUGAUGAAUCGAGUAUUCCAGCCAUUUAUAGACAGAUUUGUCAUUGUUUUUAUUGGCGACAUUUUGGUAUACUCUAAGACUAAAGCAGAGCAUGUUCAACAUCUUACUUUGGUGUUGAAGAAAUUAAGGGAACAUCAAUUGUAUGCUAAGUUUAGCAAAUGUUAAUUCUGGUUGAAUCAAGUGGCAUUUUUGGGACAUGUCAUUUCUGCUCGAGGUAUUCAAGUGGAUUAUUAAAAAGCGGCAGCUGUGGAGAAUUAGGAGCAACCUCGAAUCGUCAUUGAGGUACAAAGUUUUCUUGGCCUAACAAGCUAUUAUAGACGGUUUGUUAAGGAUUUUUCAGUCAUUGCUUUGCCAUUGACGAGAUUGACUAGGAAAGAUGUUAAGUUUGAAUGGGAUGAUAAUUGUGAGUAAAGUUUUCAGCAGUUGAAGUAUUAUCUCACUCAUGCACCUGUUUUAGCACUCCCAGAUGAUAGUGGUAAUUUUGAGGUCUACAGUGAUGCUUCUUUGAAUGGCCAGGGUUGUGUAUUGAUGCAACAUGGUAAGGUAAUUGCUUAUCCUUCAAGACAGUUGAAAUCUCAUGAGAAGAAUUACCCUACUUGUGAUCUGGAGUUAGCGGCUAUCAUCUUUGCUUUGAAAAUUUAGAGACAUUAUCUUUAUGGUGAGAAAUGUAAGAUCUUCAGGAAUCAUAAGAUUCUUUAGUAUGUUUUUACUUAGAGGUAUCUUAAUCUUCGGCAGCGAAGGUGGAUGGAGUUGCUUAGUGAUUAUGAUUGCACGAUUGAGUAUCACCUUGGUUGUGUAAAUGCAGUGGCGGAUGCACUGAGUAGGAAGACUCUAGUUAGACUUAAUGCCAUCUAUGAUUGUCAUGUUCCUCUUCUUGAGAAUUUAAGGUCCACUGGAAUGGAGUUAGGAGUGGAAGAUCGAGAGGAAGCCUUACUUGCAAAUUUUCAAGUUAUGCCAAUUGUAAUUGAUCGUGUGCUCGAAGCCCAGAAGAAUGAUGAAGAGACCUAGGAAAUAAUUCAAGCAAGGAAUGAGGGGAAGAAGAAAGAUUUCAGAAUUUGAGAAACUGAUGGUAUGCUUAUGCAGGAGAGUAGAAUGUAUGUGCCAAAUAAUAUGGAAUUAAAGAAGGCAAUUCUUGAUGAAGCACAUAUUUCAGCUUAUGCAAUGCAUCCAGGAGGUACAAAGAUGUAUCAUACCAUUCGACCAUUUUAUUAUUGGCCUGGUAUGAAAAAAGAAAUUGCUGAAUAUAUGAGUAGGUGUGUCAUUUGCCAGCAGGUUAAAGCUGAAAAGAAUAAGCCGUUUGGGUUGAUGUAGCCACUUCCUAUUCCACAGUGGAAAUGGGAAAAUAUUACUAUAGAUUUUGUGUACAUGCUUUCUCGUACACAGAAUGGUUAUGAUGGCAUCUGGGUGAUAGUUGAUCGGCUUACUAAGACAACACAUUUUAUUUCUGUGAGGGAGAAGUAUUCUGUCAGCGGAUUAGUUGAAUUAUUUGUAUCGAAGAUCGUGAAGUACCAUGGAGUUCCAAUUAGUAUUAUCUCGGAUCGUGAUCCUAGAUUUACUUCCAAGUUUUGGAUAGCAUUUCAAGAAGUUCUUGGUUCGAGAUUAUUUUAUAGUACAACAUAUCAUCCUUAAACAGAUGGACAAUCAGAGAUGACCAUUCAGACAUUGGAGGAUAUGCUGAGAACUUCGAUGUUGCAGUUUGAUGACGCUUGGCAUAAAUGGUUGGAUUUAAUGGAAUUUGCCUACAACAAUAGCUUUCAUUCCAGUAUUGGUAUGUCACCUUUCGAGGCUCUUUAUGGUAGAUCUUGUUGCACACCCUUAUGUUGGUCAAAGAUGGGUGAAAGGGUUUUAGUGCGUCUUGAGAUAGUGGAAGAGACUACUCAGAAUAUUCAGGUGAUUAAGUCUAACCUGAAAGUGGCCCAGGAUCGACAAAAGAGUCUAGCAGACAGACAUGCCACUGACCAGAUGUAUAAUGUAGGUGAUUGGGUAUUUCUGAAGCUAUCACCAUGGAAAGGUGUUAUGUGGUUUGGAAAGAAAGGCAAGCUGAGUCCUAGAUACGUUGGACCAUAUAUGAUCAUCGAGCGAGUCGGUGAAGUUGCUUAUAGACUUGAGUUGCCUCCAGAGUUGUUCAAAGUGCACGAUGUUUUUCAUGUCUCUAUGCUUCGUCAUUAUGUUGCAGAUCCUUCACAUGUGAUUCCUCCUCAACCAUUGGAAAUUAAUUUGGAUUUGAUUUACGACGAGGAACUAGUGACUAUUUUGGAAUGGAAAGAUAAAGUUUUGAGAAAUAAAACCGUGCCCUUGGUGAAAGUUUUGUGGAGAAAUCACUCAGUGGAAGAGGCUACCUGGGAGACAGAGGACCGAAUGAGAGAGAUGUAUCCAUGAUUGUUUUAUGGUUAUUAGUGGAUGUAUUGUUGUGUAUGAAUUUGGAGGACGAAAUUUUUUAAGGUGGGUAGAUUGUCACAACCCGUCCCGGAUAUGUUUAUUAUUUUACCCUCGACGACAUGAAAUUACUUAAAUGCCUUGGACAUUUUGAGUUGUGUGGUGUGGUUUAGACUUGCGUGGUGGACCAAUAUGCUAAGUUCUAAUUAUUUUGGACCAAUCCUUUUUAUUCCUAAGUAUUUGGAACUAAAGGAAUUUGUUUGUGUUAUUUGGUAGGCAAUUAGGACCACACACAUAAAAACACAACCCGUUGAGACUCCCUCUCUCCUCCCUCUCCCGGAUUUUUGCCAUCGUCUGUACCAUUGUACGGACCAUCUUCGAACCAACCUGUUUCUUCACGGAUCAACGUUAAAAAGGUAAUAUUCUUGUUCCCUACAAGCUCCUGAGUCCAUUCGUACCAUUUUUAGGACUUGAAAAUUUCGAAAACCAGAGAAACCGAUAUCCCAGUUUUGAGGUAUUGUUCAUGUGGUCGUAAUUAUGGAUGUUUCAGGAAAUUUUAAGCUUGUCGGAAGCGUUAGAACGUCCUUACGAAGGUCGGAGAAGAAAAACUAAGUAAUUUGGACGUCGGGAAGUUGAGUUUAACGAGUUGUAAGUUUUGGCCGGAUUAUCGAGUUUUCUCCAUCGAGAUUCCGUGGAUUUCAAGCCUUGAAAUUGGUAAGGUUUUGUUCUUCUAGUUACAAGCUUCAUUUUGGGACAAAUUUGAGGUAAUUCGGUUAAGAAAUUAUUGAAAUAUCAAGGUUUUUCGAAUUUCCAGUUUUUCGAAGAUGGCAACGGUCAUCGGAGUCGAAGGAAGAAGACGAGCGAAUAUUCCAUCAACUUUGACAGAAUAUUCUAACGGUGUCAGGUUAGUUUUAACGGUAUAUGCUAUUAUUUAACGGAAUAUUCCCUAACGCCGUUAGGGUUACCGUCAAUGUACCUAGCAUGUCUGGUGUGCCUUGGCCGGCGUGUGACGACACGUGGGUGGUCGGAAAAUUUUUCUAAAAAUAUGGGGAUGUUCGUGAGGUUGUGUAGAUCACUUUGGUAUAUUCAAACAUCCCAUUUGAGCAAUGUAUGAGAAGUUAUUAACUAGUUUUGUCUAUGUGCUUUAAUUAACGUAUUUAUAGUUGUUUCGCAUAUAGGGGAGACCUAUUCUGAGGACGAGCGUAGUCAAGGGCGACUCUGGGGCAACGACCCUUCGAUAUACCAGUGAAUGGGCUUUUGGGUUUAAGUCUAUAUGUAUAUGCUUGAUACCUUUCCUAGAAAAUGCAUUUAAAUGAGUUAUGAUUUAAACUGCCAUGGCAAAUGUUUUACAUUUAGAAUAUGCAUAUGAUGUUUGCAUAUAUCUAUAAUUGUGGUGUUGUGGACGCUCAGGUAAGUCCCAUGUGAGUUUAUGAAUUUCGAAUGUGAAUAAUAGUUGUGAUUAAUUGAAAAACAUUGAGCUCAUAAACCUGCACCCCGGUGUUAGUGAUUUAGCUAGAGAUAUGAUAGGACUGUAUAUGAUGUCAUCUCUCGCACCAUAUGCUCACAUUGGAUCCAAUUUAGGUGCACAAUCUUGUCGUACAGACCACUAAGGGUGGUUCCGACUCGUAGGUAAUUAGCGAUUUAUCGCACAGCUAUCAUGAGAGUGUAGCAUUGAGCAUAACUAUAUUACACCCAGUCUUGUCGUACAGACCACUACAGGUGGUUCCGACUUGUGUGUAGAUGUAGUGCCGUACAGGUCACCUUCGAUGACUCCGGCUAGAUUUGAUCAAUGAGCUUAUUUUCAUCUGAGUUACUCAUUCUGUUAUAUAUUUGUCAUGGUAUACUUAUGAACAUGGAUACGUGAAGCAUAAAUUGAUAUACAUAUAUAUAUAUAUAUAUAUUCAUUUAUAUUCCAUUUCUUGGAAAAUUAUACAUGUUUUACGGCGAAGGGUUAGAGCAUUUGAUAAAUGAAAUGGUUUUGAAAAGCUUUGUUUUUUCCCACUCACACUUUCUGUUUUGCGCCCCUCCAGGUUUUUGAUAAGCUCGCUCGUUGGUGGCUCACGAGCAUUGAUUGGAGGUUCUGACAGACUAUCAAAAAAUGUAAGGCAUCUUUGGGUGUCGUUUAAUUAGUACUUGUUUUCUGGACUAAACUUGGGCUACUUAUGCUCUGAUUGUGUAUUCACACAUAUUCUAGCACUUGUCUUAACUAGUACUCUUAUGAGUUGGUUUUCAUUUAUUCGUAUUCUCUAUUAUCAUUAUUGAUUCUGCACUGUGCAUAUGGCUACGUCACCCUCACGUGACGGCCAGCAUGCCCUGAUUCGGGUUGGGGUGUGUCAGGCUAUAUUUGGCCUAUGGUUCUUUGGCCCCUCGGUUGGAGAUGGUAUAAAAUAUGGCAUGGCACUGUUCAUUAAAAUAUAAUUUCUCGUAGAGCUAUAAGGCUAAAUAUAGCCCUUUGACCCUUCAUCGGUUGGAGAUGUCCUUAGGCAGCCUUAAUCAACGUCCGUCUUUGGUGGUGUUGCAUGACCUUUGUGAGGGAAAAAUUUUGUCCUAGCCAAGAACAAGUAAGAACAUUUGAAUACACAUGCAAACUAUUAACACAUUAAAGUAGGCAUGCAUUCAAAAAACAAUUCAUAAAACCCAUGACUUUCAAAGCCUAGUAUAUGGUGAACCAAAAGACUCUUUAACAACAUUAAAGAGAAUGAAGAAUUUAGAGAUUCUUUACCCUUGAAGCUCAUCCUUGUUUACACAAGGGAUUCACCCAAGUGGAGGGCCUUCAAGUCACCUCCAAGCUCCUUGGAUCUUGCUUGUGAUUUCCUUCUCCUUUUGUGCUACUUUGGUCCUUGAGGAUGUGAGGAAAGGAUCUCCAAAACACCAAAGGUUUGGUGUCUCUAAGUCUCCACACCAAGGGUGAGGUGUGAAGAUGAAAAUGGAUGACUUAGAGAAGAAAAGAUUGCUAGAUUAAUCUCCUCUAAGUGGCCAGCCUCUUUGUAGAGAGAAAGAGAGAAAAUGUUUCACCUCUUUGCCUCAAAGAAAAACCCUAAUGAAAAUAAAGCUAUAAAGUUGCUUUUAUACUUCAUUACAAGUGAGUGGCAAACUUGUAAUUAAUCCAAGUUUGCAACAUUCACCCUAAUGGACGGCCUUCCCUUUGUUAUUGGGCUAAUUGCCCAUUUUGUUUUGGUUGUCAUACAACUUAAACAUAAUGGGCCUUGUGGACCAAAACGCUUUUGGGCCCCGAAGCCCAAAACUAACUUAAAAGCCCAAUACGAACAUUUCGUAUAAUUAAUUAACUAUUUAAUUAACCUUGACCAUUUUUCAAUCAAACCAUUUAAUUGCAUAUCCAUUUCAUUGAUUUCAUCACUUUCAUCCUUACUCGGUGUACGAUCCAUUAGGUUCCAUUUAGCGAGGUAGUGGGCGAUUGUUACUCUUAAUGAUUGAUUGUGAAUUGAAACCACAUUUCAAUUCUCCCUUAAAAUUAGUGUUUGCUAAUCUUUAGGGCUUCCACAAACCAUGAGUGACACCUAGCAGCAUGUCAUGGUUACCCAAGCUAAUUAGAAGUGGUUGGAGAACCUAUCCAGUUACAACUACAAUGCAAUACGGUCAUUCUCUAAUACAAUACUCUUAAUCACAUUGUUUGAAUGAUAGUUUGUUUCAUGUCUACUAUCCAAUGUGAUACUUCUCUAUAUGAUUCAAUUAAAUAUGAUUUGGAACAAACUUCCUAAGUCAUAUUCAUAUGCUUUGGCCAAAGACUCUCGAAUCAUAUCUUAGAGUAUUCUCCUUCCACCAUGGAAGGUUAGAGAUCCCUUGUUGUGCAUUCAUAUGCCUACAUGACUAGAUAGCUUGACCCCAACAAUGCCGUGGACACUCCAAUGGAAUGCCUUUGACAUGAUCAAAGGUCAAGGACCUAACCAUUAGACAUCUAUGAUGCCUCAGGUCAAAGGACUACUUUGCAUAUUGCAACUAUCGAGUUCUUACGUGACAUGUAUGUUCGAACUCUCUUUUGAUCGUUGUUCAGUGUACUCGAUUACUCUUUCGAGCACCUAUGUGUUUGUCUUAGUGUCCAACACUAAAUGACUUGAGACUAGUCAUACUCACGCUUGAGUCGAUAUAACACAUACUAACCUUAGCGGAUUGUCAAUGCCCAAUUGGCAAUCCUAUGGCUAGGAACGUUUUAGGAAUGAACAUAAGAGAAAGGUCUCGUUAAUCUAACUUACUUAAAUCACUUAUCUCUUAGAUCAAAUACAUUCCUUGGAUUCCCUUAUUGCUUAAACACAUGAUACAAUAAAUAGUGAUUAACAAUAAGCUUUGCCCUUCAUUAAACAUAUAAAAGUUUAAUACAUUAAGUAUUCCAAAAGCUAUUUACAUCAAAUGAGUGGCUUUGUGGGCAUACUUCCAACACUUUGCAUUUCCGGAAACUUGUACUAAUGGGAUACGACUAGCUUCUACUUCUUUCUUCACAACUUGGCUUAAGCCAAGGGCUUACAAUUCUUAGACUUGUGUACUUUGUAAGUUUAUACAUGGAGUAAUUAGGUUCACAUCCUUCUUUUUGUUACUUCAUUGAUUAAAAUCCUAUUCAUUUUUAAUUUUUGAUCAAGGUCCUUGUGACACACCCCAAUCCUAGAAUCAAGGCAUGCUGGCUGUCACGUGAGCGUGACGUAACCAUAAGUGCGGUGCGGAAGCAAAAUAAGAGAAUUACGAAAGAAUAAAAACCAACUACUAGCAAGAAUAACCAAAAGCAUGCUAGAGAGAGAGAGAGUUAAAGUGUGCAACACACAAUUUCAGAGCAUAAGCAACUAGGUGCAGUCAAGUAGGACUAUAAUUAAGUUACAACACCCGCAGGUGAGUCCUACAUUAGGAGAGUCUGUCAGAACACCGAAGAAAGCCUCGUGAGCCACCAACUGCUAACUAGAACCUGGAGGGGCACAAAACAAAAUUGAGUGGGUCAGUAAAACAAAACUUUGCGAAAACCUUUCAUUUAAAACAUUUCUAACCCCUCGCUGUAAAACCUGUAUACUUUCCCAGAAAAUAGCAUACUAGCAUAAUACUUUUCAUUUAUCUCAAAUCGUCAAUCUUUCUUAAAAACCAGAAAGUAUGCCAUGUUAAAAACUUUCAAAAACAGAAUGAAUGAUGCAUCAAUGUAACAGGUGAAAUAAUGAAUUAACUGGAGACCCUACAGUUGAUCCUGUACGGUUAAUUCUAUAGCUCAACAUCAAAUCCAUCCGGAGUCACCUCGGUGACCUGUACGGCACUACACUGCAUAUACAUCGAAACUACCUGAAGUAGUCUGUACGAUAAGGAUGGUGUAAUAAUAAUACGCUCUAGUGCUUCUCUCAUCAAACAUCUGUGUACACAAUCUAAGGUCACCUAUCAGUUGGAACCCUCUCAUGGUCUGUACGACAUGUCGGAACCUUCUCAUGGUCUGUACGACAUGCACCUACUUGGAUCCAAGGUGAGCGUGCGGUGCGAGGUGAAUAAUAUAAGCACUAACACCAUGAUUGCAGGUUAUGAGCUAUCAACAUAAUACAUAUCAACAAUGCACAUGAAUAACAUAAACUCACCUGAUACUCACCUGUGCGUCCACAACACCAAUUCACAUAUAUAUGCAUCAAUUAUCAAUUCAUAUAACUUAUAUCAUGCAUGCAUGGCAUUUGAAAACGUAUUUUCCUUCAAACUCAAUUUCUGGGAAACAUAUCAAUAGUAUAUAGGUAUAAACAGAAAUACUGCCCACUCACUGAUAAGUCGAAGGGUCGUAACCCCCGUGACGUCCCUGGAUGCGCUCGUCCUCGGGAUAGGUGUCACCUAUAUGCGAAAUAACUAUAAAAACGUUAUUUUAAAGCAUAUAAUCAACAAUUCGUAAUAACUUCUCAUACGGUGCUCAAAUUGGGUAUAUGAAUAUACCACAGUGACCUACUUGACGUCACGGACGUCGACAUAUUUUUAAAAUAAUUUUUGGGCUUGUCACGGGCCCCCACGCGCCGUGGGUGGCACGGACCUACGCGCCUCCACGUGCAUCUUCUUCCUCGAUGCUUGCCGGACUGAGUUUUCCGGUGGCUGGAAAACUGGGCAAUUUUCAAUUGCCUUGUUCUCCCUCGUUUCUCAACCAUUUUCUUCGAAUUUUAUAUCAAUUUGAAGCCCUAAACAUGUAGUUUCACGAUAGACUAGUUUAAAGCUCUAAAAACUACGAAAUCUCAUCGUAGAAAUUCCAAGAAAACCGGCCAAAGUCGAACCCAGUGAUCCCGACGUCCAAAACCUUCAAACGAAGCACUCCGAGCUUCCUUGGGACCUCACUAAGCUCACUACAAGCUUAGAAUUCCUUGAAAAUCGACAUAUUAUGAUUGCAUGAAUAGUGACAUAAAAUGGGGGUUCGGGUUUCACGUGAUUUCGAUGGUUUCACUUUCUAAAACCAAUAUCAAUCGACUCAGGAGGUUGAAAGGAUGAAGAUUCAUACGUUUUUGGCGUCGAUCCGUGGAAGUUCGAGGGUUUUGGGCUUCGUCCGUACGUUCGAGGGUGAGAGAGUGAGAGAUUGAGAGAGUCGUGAGGGAGGAGAGAGAGAGAAGGCACGGGGGAAGGGGAGAGGUCCUGUGUGUGUAUGUGGUCCAACCAAAACCAUACAUACCAAUUUUAAUCCCUAACCACACAAAAAAAUACCAUCCAAAAUUAAUCCAACUUAAAUUAUUUCUCCAAAAGCUUAGGGAAUAGGAAAUAUUCAAAACAUGUCACAACACUUACCUUAGUAACGUCAAGGGUACUUUCGUCCUUUCACGUCCUUAAUAAGAAAAUCUCGGGACGGGCUGUGACACCUUGGGUAUUAAUAACAUCAUUAAUUAUUUGAAUAAUAAAAUAUUUUUAUUUUUCAAUAUAUUCCUUUAGUGUUAAAAAUGUUACAAUUAGUAUAUUUAUAUUUAUGGCUAAAUUUUUUAUCAUAUAUUUUUAUUUUUAGUUUGUACCUAUUUUUAAUUUGCAAAUAUUUUUUAAUUUGUACAAUUUUCUUUUAAUUUUUAAUUUGUACCCAUAUAUGUUAGUUUCUUUUUGUGCCCAUAUUUUUUAAAGUUUUAUUUGUGUUUGUACCCAUGUGUUUAUCGUCACGUGACAUUGUAUAUUUAAUCAAUGAUAGAAAAAUUACAUAUGGUAUAUUUAUGUUUUAUGCCUAAACUUUGUAUCACAUAUUUAUAUUUUUAGUUUGUACCCACUUUUCAUUUACAAUAUUUUUUAAAAAUUUGCAGUAUUUUCUUUUUAGUUUUAUUUUGUACCCAUGUAUUAACUUCUUUUAGGGCCUAUAUUUUUUAAACAUUCAUUUGUACUCAUAAUUUUUUAAACUUUUACAUGUACCCUAAUUUAUUUAUAAUGUACCCAUUCUUUUUUAUUAAUGUACAUAUGUGAAAUGUACCAAUUUUUUUAACACUAUCAAUACAUUCUUUUGCCAUUUAUUAUUUCUUAUUUUUACAUAGUUUUUAUCCAUUUAUUCAAUCAAAAUGUUUGAAUUCUUUUAUUGUAACCAUUUCUAAUAGUAUUAUAAUUGUAAGACACCAUAUCGCCUAGGAGUGAGGAUCCUGUAAGCUUUAUAUGUAUAUUCCCAUCUCUACCUAGCACGACGCCUUUUGGGAACUCACUGGCUUCGGGUUCCAAUGGAACUCUGAAGUUAUGCGAGUUCAGGCGAGAGCAUUCCCAGGAUGCGUGAUCCACUGGGAAGUUCUCGUGUGAGUUCCCAGAAAUAAAACCGUGAAGGCGUGGUCGGGGCCUAAAGUGGACAAUAUCGUGCUACGGUGGAGUCGAGCCCGGGAUGUGGUGGGGGCCCGGGCCAAGAUGUGACAAAAUUGACACACCCCGACCUAGAUCGAGGCAUGAUCACGUAGUGACGUAAUCAUGUGAAGACAAAUACUAAAAAAAACACACCCAAGGGCGAUCAUACAUUUAUGAUGUUCUGUCAGAAUCACCGUUGAAAUCCGCGCGAGCCACCAAAGCACUUUUACUCAAAACCUGGAGGGGCGCAAAAUAGAAAGUGUGAGUGGGCAAAAACAAAGCUUUUCAAAAUCAUUUCAAUUCUCAAAAGUUCUAACCCCUCACCAUAAAACCUGUAUAAUUUCCCAGAAAAUAAUAAUAAUAACAAUAAGCUGAAUCAGAAAUCAUACUCAAUAUGAAAAUCCAUAGAAGUAUACCAUGCUAAAGUAUCUCAAUGCAAUGCUAUAAGUAAUCCAGGCAAAAUAUAUUAAUGUCAAAUAUCGCAUCAACAAAAUCCUUCUAACUCAAUCUGCACGGCUGAGUAUAUAGCUCAUAACCAAUUUCAAUCACAUCAAAUCAAAUCCUGCACACGAGUCAGAACCACCUAAAGUGGUUUGUACGACAAGACUAGGUGUGAAGUAAAUAGGCUCUAGUGCUAUGAUCUCGUGAAGGCUGUGCGAAUAAUCACGGGUCACCUACGAGUCGAAACCACCUAAAGUGGUAUGUACAACAAGCCUGUGCACCUAACUUGGAUCCAAGGUGAGCAUAUGGUGUGGGAGGUGAACAUCACGUGAAUGAUUGUACCCUAACUCUGGGCUGGAGCACUAACACUGGGGUGCAGGUUUAUGAGCUUUCAAUACAUCACAUCAUGUCUCGCAUAACUGAAGCAAUCUCAUAUCUUUAAUUUAUGAACUUACUUGGCACUUACCUGUGCAUCCGCAACACCAAUCAUAAAUAUAUGCAACUACUAAUGCAUACUAAAAUAGACAGAUACUUUGCAUAAAAAUUCAAAACGUAAUUUCAUUCAAAUUAAUUUUCUGGGAAAAAUCAAGUAUAUAGGUAUAUACGAAAAACCAAAAGCCCACUCACUAAUAUGUCGAAGGGUUGUAGCCCUCAAGCCUCGAUUGAUGGCGCUUGUCCUCAGGAUAAGUCUCACCUAUAUGCGAAAUAAUUGAAUAAACGUUAUUUAAAGCACAUACACAAAACUAGGAAAUACCUUCUCAUACAUUGCUCAAAUGGGGUAUUUGAAUAUACAAGCCAAAUUUUUAGAAAAAUUUUCCGACCACCGAAGUGCCGGCCAAGGCGCGAACUACUGUUAGGAAUAUUUCGUUGACGCCGUUAGAAUAUUCCGAUAGACUUGAUAGAAUAUUCCCCUUCGUCUUCCUUAGAUCGCCGGAGAUCGUCGCUGGUGCCAGUUUCUAGAAAAUAAUCAAACCUUCAUAUCUUCUUCAAUUUUCAACCAAAACUCACGAAAUCUAUAUCAAAUUAAAGCUUUGGAUGAGAGGAACAAAGACUUACGACUUUGGGGACCUAAGACUGAUCGAAUCAUAUUUAUAUAUAUUUUUACUUCGAAUUCACUCGUCUUUUCUUAGUUAGUUCCUUAUAUUUUUGAGCUAUUUACGUUAUUUUUGUGUUUAUAGGAUUUGUUAUGCAAAGAAAAUAAAAAUAGAAUAAGUGAAAUUUUAUUCGUGAAAAGCAAAUUUAAAUUACAAUAUUGCUAAACCAUUGUGACGCUAAAUGAUAAACCAAUAUUUAAACUUUAUAUUUCAUCAUUUUAUAUUUCUUUUCUUGUCUAAUUUAUUUGAAAGCUUUAAGUAUUUAUGAUACUUUUGAUAUAUUGUGUUUGUAGGAGUAACAUGAUCCAAAGAACUUAUUUUUCUGCUAUGUGGGGCUGCUAGAAACUAAAUGAAAAUAAAAGGAGAGCAUCGGGAGGAGAAUAUAGAGGAAAGCAAGCUGCCUUUGCAGCUGGAGGAAAGCAGGUCAGCGACAAAGGGAUCCAAGGAAGUCAGAAGAAUUAAGGGACAGCAACUGGCAAAGCAGAGAAAAUGGAGGAGUCCACACGGGGGACGGAAAAAGAAUCCAAAGAAGGGGAAAAAGACUGACAGCUCGCAGAAGAAAGGGGGCCUCGGUGAGAAAGAAAGAAGGGGAGUCAGAGGAGAGGAGAGAGGUCAGGGGAGGGCAGACUUGAUUUGAGGGCGGUCUUGGGGGGGAAUUAAGGAAAAGGGGGAGCUGCCCUUUGGGCAGCUCGAGAAGGGAGUCAGCGUGAGGGCAGAAGAACAGAGGCAGGGGAGAGACUGACGCGAGAGGACAGGGAAGACUAAGUGUGCGAAAAAAAAAAAUAAGAAAUAAGAAGAUAGAAGCAGAGAGACUGACGAGAGAGGCAGUGUGCAGAAAACAGAGAGGACAGACCGAGGGCAGAAGCAGCAAGCACUCUCCUCUCUCUCGGUUAAAUCUUUCUAAAUCUAUAUUUUAUUUCUGUUUUAAUAAUGUGUAAUUAAAUUUUAUUUUGGCUAGAGGUUAAUUCAAAAACAUGAAUAUAUUUGUAAUAUGAAUUGAUUACCUUCGGUUGUGAUUUCAUAAGUUGUGAUUUCAAUUUACUUAUCCGUUCGUAUAAAAACUGAUUUGUGUAUGUUGGUUGAGAGUGCACGCUUAAUUUACAUGCAUGAAUUUGAUGCUAGAAUAUAAGUGAAUUUCACCUAAUCGUUAUGAACUUAUUUUCACAAGUAGUAAAGGUUGCUAGUCACAAUCACGUUAAGUAAAUUCUUGGCAAGAGUAUCAUGCUUUUCAUAGUUACGAAUGCCUCGUCAAUGCUUAUAGUUUUCACAAAGUUUAAUGAUCUUUGAUUGUAUCUCUAUUGUGCUUUUCACGUAGGGGACUUUUGAAGAAUGUUUUGAAUUGUUGUAUGCGUUUUCCCGUCCAAUUCAAUAACUUAAGGAAAACUUGAAGAUUAAAAAAGUGCUGUUCACGGUUAAUCUGGAGUAUUGAAAUUCACAAUUUAUUAAAAGAACAACUGGAAAUCAUUUUGUAUGCAAGUAUAACAUGUGUGGAGAAGAACCCUUUAGCUAGUCCGUCAUUUAUCAUUUUACCUUAAUUUCAUGUUUUUGUCAAUUCUGUAAUUUAAUUAAGUUUAAUUUACUUUUCAUCAAAACCAAACACCCAUCCAUUAUUAAAUUAUAUUAUUUAUUUAGUUUUCUUUAUUGUUAGUCUUUUAAUUUAAUUUCCAUCCAUUGCAGUUCCUAGUGUCUAAUUUGAUUGUUUUCAUUAUUUUGAGUUAUCCUAAGUGUGUUUCGAGUUAUUAGAGUUUUUAGCCUAGUUUUGUGUCCUUGAGUCUUAUUUAAUAUUUUUAAAUUAAUUUAGAAUAGAUUAGCAAUCCCUCCUAAUCCCCGGCCUAGAACGAUACCCUACUUACAUCCAUACUACAAUUGUCAAAAAGAGGGUUUAAUUUGUGUGUCAAGUAAUUCUCACACCAAAUUUUGGCGCCGUUGCCGGGGAUUAGCAACUUUGCUAAUCCUUUUAUUUUUGUUUUUGUUUAUGUUUAUAUUGGUGUUUGUGUAUUUUACUUUUGAUAUUUGAUUUAUUUUUCUUUCUUUGAUUUUAGGUUCAAAUGGAGCCGAGGGAAAUUUAAAGGAAAGAUGCGUCCGGCUAAAGACGUUAAAUCAAGCGCUUCUUGGGAGGCAACCCAAGCAUUCAACGAAGGGAGACUUUGGAAUCGCUAACCCAAUCAGAUUUGCAUUUUUACACCCUUAUCUUUAAUGCUUUCAUUUUGUCUUGUUUAGUUAGUUGUGUUAUUUGUUUGAUUUCUGUGAGUUUGUGUUAUUUAGUUUAAGUGUGGGGGAAGGUUAACCAAAGUCUCUUUACAUUAAUUUACAUUUAUAAAAAAAAAAAAAAAAAAAAAAAAAAAAAAAAAAAAAAAAAAGAUAAAAUUUAAAAUUAAUGAUAAAAAAAAAAAAAAGUACAAAUAUUUUACAAUGAUGUAAACUAAUAGUAUUCAUUGGUCGGGUGGUGCUUCAGUAGUAGGCGGGGCUUCAGCAGUCGGCGGGGCCACAGAAGGAGGAGGCGGCAGAGGUUGAUCAGUUGGAGCUUCACUACGCGGUGCCGCUCCAGAAGACGAAGGCAGAUGUUGUUGGAACAAACCCACAAACCUCCGAUGAUCAAGUAAAAUUUGACCAUCGGUGUCCUGCAUCUGGUCAAUCUUCCUCUUCAUGCUGGUGGCAUAGCUGUGUGCGAGCUUGUGCAAUUCCUUAUUCUCAUGCUUGAGCCCUUUAAUCUCUUGCUUGAGACUCUGUAUUUCAGCCACCAAGGAUUCAACGUGACGGGUUCGGGCAUAUAGGCGUUGGGCCAUGUUGGAUACGGAACCCGCACACUGCACACUGAGAGCCAGAGACUCCUUGACCGCCAAUUCAUCAGACCGCCUUGCGAGUAGUCUGUUAUCUCUGGGAGUGACAAGGUUUCGGGCCACCACCGCAGCGGUCAUGUCAUUUUUCAUCAUCGAAUCCCCCACGGUAAGGGGACCGGUAGGGGAUAUAAAGGAUGACCGCCAUAUGUUGUCUGGUGAAGGCGGAGCUGCCUCUUCACCAAUGUUCAAGUCAAAACGACGAUCAGAAGGGCCAGACAUUUUUCAGAGGUGGUAAAGAAAGAAGAGAGUCGGAAUGAUCAAGAUUAAACAAGUGCAAGAAGGGAGUGUUUACAGGAGGGUACUCAAGUGUGUUGUGGAACAAAAUUAACGCCUCUAUAAAAAGAAGAAAUCAAAGAGGCGCUCCUCAGAGAGGCGUCCUCUCGCAAAUCGAAGAGUCGGGGCUCCUUUCUCAAAAGCCGGAGUUUUUUUCUCAAAAGAGGGGCUCCUUUCUCAAAAGUCGGAUUCUUUUUCUCAAAAAGAGGCGUUUCAUUUCUUAAAAAUUGGGCUUGCUCAGAAACCACGAGCCGAACCCCGGAUUUCGCAAGAUCAAUUCGUCCAGACGUGUUGUCACCCGUCACACGCAAACUCAGCUCUACGAAAAUCACGGGCAGUCUGUCGAAGUGCCGAUUCCAACCAUCUGUCUCUCUCAGCCUAGUCAGCACUUGUCACAUGCAACUAGCAGCUUUGCGGAAAUUACGGGCAGCUUUGUCAGAAAGCGCGUAAUUUGUAUUCUUCACCCAUCCACCGGCUGCCGACACUAAGUGAGAGAACAGUUCCGGUUGUGAAGACAAGUCCUAUAAGUUUCUACCUUCGCCUUCCACAGCAAAAGCACACUCUCUCAGCACACCCUCUCAACACCUCUUCAUCUCCGAAAAUGCAUUCCCAAAAAAUCCUCUCGAGUCACUCUGUGUUCCUCAUUCCUUGGGAUACUCCUGCGAACAACCCAUUCAAAGCAAAAGUAUUUCAUAUCAUAAAGGUUGAAAGCAAGAGUAUCUCAUAUCAUGCUUUCUCCAUGUCCUUCUCCUUGUCUUUGUUUUCCGACAAGGAGAAAGAGAGCAAUCAGCCAGCAUUUGGUAUCAAUCUUCCGAUCUAGAGCCAACUGCCUGGAACCCCUUCCUGAUUGCUUACUUAGCCUUGCUCUCGAGUACUCAUCUUCAUCAUUUUAUGCUUUCUCUUCGUCUACCACAUCUGCCUGGGGGACAGUAAGGGAAGUGAAAAUGAUACCUCGAAGCAUGUGGAGACAAUUCAGCUAGGGACAAGGAGAAAAGAAAGCAAGAGGUGGGCACUUGGAAAGAUUGAAGAAAGAAAUAAGGACCAACACCUUUCCCUCGUGCCUGCCCGUUGUGCAGAAGAAACAAGCAGAGAAGAAUGCAGCUUGCACAAUCAUCCCAGCGGAAGGAGUCCGAACUGAGGAACUAGAGAAGCUGCCACAUCUGCUUGGAGAACAAAUAAGGAACUGCAACAUAACCAAAGAGCAAAGCUUCGCCGUACAAUAUCAUAAAAUCAUCACUUGCAAGUGAAAAGCUAAGUGUCACCCUGUUCAAGAGGAAAGCUGUGGAAAGUCAACAAGCACGACCAAUGAUUACUUAUUAGUUUUAUUCAUUAUCUUUUAUCGUAAUUUUCAAUUUUUCGUUUGCAAUUUUUUUUAAUUAAUUUUCUUGCGUACUUAACUGAAUUUUUCCUUUUCUUUGCAGGAACUUUUGGUUAUUUCCACCCUUGAAGUUGAUUGCAGAAUUUUAGCUUGGGGGUCAUCGCUUGAUUUUACUGCAAAUUAGGGAAGUUUUCAGUCCAAUUGCGUUAUUUUGUUUCUUAUUAUUUAUUUAUUUUAUUUUAUUUUAUUUAUUUGCAUUAUAGUGUUUUCUGACAUUGGGGACAAUGUCAAGUUUAAGUGUGGGGGUAGACAUCUCUAGAAUUUCAUUUGUUUCUGUGUUGUUGCUUUUUGUUUUCUUUAAAUAAAAAAAAAAAAAAAAAAAAAAAAUCGGAAAAUUUAAAAAUCCAAAAAUAUUGUCUUGUUUCCCUUAUUGUUCUGAAUCAGAUUUUUAUUAGUUUCCCGACCCAAUGAUAUAAUUGAAUAAAAUUUGAACCAUGAUCAUCAAGAACUUAGUUAACAUGUGUUUUGUGAAAUUCCUAAUUCUUUUGUUAGUUUUGUACAUGUUUGAUCAUCUUUGAAAAACCAAAUGCACAUAGCUUUGUUGAUGUGAAACUAAAGCAUAACGUAAAGCUUCAUAUAUGAAUUUAGUGACCAUAUACAUCCUAUGUGAGUUUUUGAGCCUAUUGAAAGUGUGUGCAUUUUUCAUACACUCCUAUUCUUUCAUGUGUGAUGAACUUAUGUGAGAUACAUCUCUAGAACUUGCGUAACGAUCUUUCGAAAUGUUUGUCAUUGAUUGCAUGAACUUGGAAAUGAUAGAGGCAUUAGGUUUACCACCAUGGCCCAAAUAACCAUGUUUCCCAAAGAAAAAUGAUAUCAUUAGAUUGCCAAUUUGAGCCGUGUAUGUUGAGCCUUUUAUUUCUUAUCACCAGAUAUGUCUACCCUUAUACCUGAAACAUUUUUCCUUACCCUUUCCAAGUGAGCAAUGCGAAAUUGUCUUAUGAGAAACGUUUGUGAAGUACUGUGAAGAUGUUUGGCAAAAGAAUAAGUGUGGGGGUAUUUCAUGUUUGUGAUUAAAAAAAAAAAAAAAAAAAAAAAAAAAAAAAAAAAAAAAGAAAGAUUGUAUAAAAAGAAAAUAAAAAGUUUUUAAAGUUCAGUUUAAGAGUAUGGUUGGAGGUGCUAGAAGAAUUGCUGGAGAGCUUGAGUUCUUAUAAAUCUAAAGAAAAGAAUUGCAUGAAAUGUAGCUUGGAACUUGUGUUUUCCUAUUCUUUCGUUUCAAUAACCCUAUCCCUAAGCCUCAUUACAUCCAAUAAAAGUCCUCUUGAUUUAAGUUUUGCAAUUAUGACUGUGGAGAAGUGAUCUUUAUGCAAGCUUAUGGUAGAAAUUUCACAUUUGUUUCUUUGAGCGAAACACACUAAAACUAAACACAUAUGUGAUUGAGUGUAUAUCCCGUGAGAAGGUUACUAGUUUGCAUAUGAUGAUUUUAAAAAUAAAAACUUGAAAUUGCAUUAGCAUGGCUAUCUCACACACUACACUUCAAGGAUGAUUCAAAGAUUACUGCUAAUAUUUGAAUAAGGAAGAUGAACUUGGAUUAGUUCCUUGAUGCUAGCUAUGGUUCUUGAUGAUUUGUUUUCUUGAAUGAAAUUCUAUGAGGGUCACAUAGGGGGAAACUAAUGUUUUUCAUGUUAGUACUUUUUCUAGUUUUCUUGGUUUUGCUCGAGGACUAGCAAAAGUUAAGUGUGGGGGUAUUUGAUCGGAUCAUAUUUAUAUAUAUUUUUACUUCGAAUUCACUCGUCUUUUCUUAGUUAGUUCCUUAUAUUUUUGAGCUAUUUACGUUAUUUUUGUGUUUAUAGGAUUUGUUAUGCAAAGAAAAUAAAAAUAGAAUAAGUGAAAUUUUAUUCGUGAAAAGCAAAUUUAAAUUACAAUAUUGCUAAACCAUUGUGACGCUAAAUGAUAAACCAAUAUUUAAACUUUAUAUUUCAUCAUUUUAUAUUUCUUUUCUUGUCUAAUUUAUUUGAAAGCUUUAAGUAUUUAUGAUACUUUUGAUAUAUUGUGUUUGUAGGAGUAACAUGAUCCAAAGAACUUAUUUUUCUGCUAUGUGGGGCUGCUAGAAACUAAAUGAAAAUAAAAGGGAGAGCAUCGGGAGGAGAAUAUAGAGGAAAGCAAGCUGCCUUUGCAGCUGGAGGAAAGCAGGUCAGCGACAAAGGGAUCCAAGGAAGUCAGAAGAAUUAGGGGACAGCAACUGGCAAAGCAGAGAAAAUGGAGGAGUCCACACGGGGGACGGAAAAAGAAUCCAAAGAAGGGGAAAAAGACUGACAGCUCGCAGAAGAAAGG
rnacentral:lncRNA from 1 species